rnacentral:lncRNA from 1 species
UUUUUUUUUUUUUUUUUUUUUUGCUGUGAUUGCCAAGUCAGCUUGAAAGAGAGCAAUAACCAAAUUAUUCGAAGAUAGGUUCUUUACAUAAUUAGGUUCAUGCAUGUAGCUGAUCUCCUUCUCCAUGCAUAUGGAAAGGGCCUGCUCAUACUCUGUCAGUCAGGAUAUUGUACUGACAUUAAUUUGCAAAAAUAGUGUCUUUAUGUUGUUAACGGUGUCUCCGUUUGGUUGAACACUAUUAUGUGAUAUGCUCCCUCUGUUUGUAAAGCAAAAUAAACUGGUUGGAGUAUCCUCUAAUAGGCUCCUGCAAUCUUUUAAUGUGCUCUUGCAAUCUUUUUAAUUACUCUGUUAUUUCCUUUAGUUAUGGGUAUCUGACAUUCUGUUUUAUUUCUAUAUAUGUUGUUCCAAUGGAAUCAAGUGCCAAAAUUAUAACAAACAUCCUUUAGUCAAGUUGGACACUUUUCCAUAUAAUGUUUGGUUCAGGGAUCCUCGUACAAACAUAAUAUUCUUAUGUAUUUCAAUCAGACUUGACCCUCAUGGUUUAAUAUGUGUAAACUGAAGCUUGGUUCUGUUUCUUCAGUUUCGUAUGGAAAUAGACCACCUGUUUUUUUUGCCUUUCAACAGUUGUGGUUCCAAAAUUAGCAACUUGAACAAGUUCAUAACACUUUCUGUUUCAAAUUACCUGUUGAACUAGUUGCCUACACUGCAGGACACAUAUUAUAUGUGUGAACUAUAUGUUUCUUCUGUUUCUUAAGGAAACAAUUUUUUUUGGAAACCAUCUCUUUCUAAUCAAACACGUACAGUUUCUUCUCACUCAUUCUGCAAUUUGUUUAUAUGCUAACUCACUUAAAUGUGUACAAAAGCAAAAAAAUUUAUCUUACCGGCCUCAUUCAUUCAUGUAUCUCUCUGUUUGUUCGUAAUUGUCUUAAAUUUAUUCAACUUAAAUGUGUUUUAUCCAUCUGAUUAUGUCUGAACCAGCUGGUUCCCGCAGCAACGCGUGAGCGUAAUUUCUAGUGAACAUUAAACAGAAGAGAACACAAUUCUUUUGUGAAAAUGUCUGCAUACUGAUCUGUAGAAGCUACAAAAUGUAACAAAACAGUCCCUUGUUGAACUCUUUCACGUACAAAAUAACAGUCAGUUUCAAUAUGCUUGGCCUUGGAGUGCAAUACUGGAUCCAUUGCUAAUGCCAUGGCAGAAAUGUUAUCACAGUGAAGUAAAGGAGUAUCAGAACUUACAAUGUGUAAGUCCUUGAGUAGCUGUUGAAUCCAAACAAUUUUUGGAGUAGUAUUGCAUUCCUUUUAUGAAUUCUCCCGUUUGCUGAAAAAAGAAGGAAAAUUUGAUCCAUAUACUUGUUUAUAUUUUUUUUCAAAGUUUAAAACCUUUUUGUUGCUGUAAUAUUGUAUGAAGUUAUGAACUAUACCUCAAAUCCAAAGAAAACGUGAAUAAAAACAGUAAAGGCUUGGAAUCUCUCAUAUUUGUGUUCAAUUCUAAGAAGUUAUAUGCACCAACACGAAAUAUAAAUUACGACAUAUCAUUUAUUUCUUGCCUUGAAGAAGUUGUAGUAAAAUCAAGGAACAAAACAACGAGGGAUAGGUGUGCGGAAAUCAUUUCCCGUAUAUUAUCGAGCCUCAAGUACUGAAAUAGUGACUUCAUUAGCUGAGCAUGCUUUAGAAGAAUGACUGGCUUCGAGUUCAGUCAAAUCCCUUUCACUAUAAAACCCAGGUUUCAAAGGUUGAGGCAAUGCACCUUCACCACUCAACAUUAGAACUGCAGCUGACAUGCUCGGCCUGUCCUCUGGAUUCCGCUGCACGCACAAAAGACCCACAUGAAUUGUUCUUACAACUUCAAACAGAGUGAUGGAGUCCUCUACCGAUGUAUCAAGUAGUUCGAGAGGCCUGCCUUCUGUGUGUAGCAUCCAUGCCUAAAACACAAAAACUAGUCUACUUAGUAGAAGUAGCAGAGUUGAGUGAUAAGAAUUUUAACUUGACAUUUGAUGCUGUCACGCUCACAUGUCCAAGAAGGUUGAGUUUGUGGUCUGGAUGAGAGAAUCCUCUAUUUUUGCUCCCACUCACUAUCUCUAGCACCAGAACACCAAAGCUAUAGACGUCGGACUUUAUAGAGUAGAAACCAUCAAUUGCAUAUUCUGGGGACAUGUAACCGCUGCAAACCAAUGUGUCAGAAAAACAUUUUUAUACGCAAAGAAUCUAGUCUUUCUGUUAAUGUUUUCAAAAAAUCUUAAAAAACAGUCAUACAAUUGUGUUUUAGGAUACUUACUAUGUUCCAACCACUUUCUUCGUCUCUGCUUUCGUUUCAUUUCCUCCGAAGCUUCUAGCCAAGCCAAAGUCUGAGAUUUUCGGGUUAAAUUCACGGCCUAAUAAAAUGUUACUUGCUUUGAGAUCUCUAUGAAUAACUCUCAAUCUAGAAUCUUGAUGAAGAUAGAGGAGCCCUCGAGCUAUCCCAUUAAUAAUUUCAAAGCGCUUCGGCCAGUCUAAUAACAUCCUUCUUCUUUGAUCUGCAAAAUAUCAUAAUUCACAAUUGUCAAAAAAUACAUCGUGCUAGGCUGCUAGCAUAAGCGAACUAAUCGAACUAAAUGCAAGGUUUUUGAGUAGUCAAACCGAAAAUAAAAAAGUCUAAGCUCUUGUUAGGCAUGAACUCGUAGAUCAGUAUCAUCUCGUCUUCUUGAAUGCAGCAUCCAAGAAGCUUCACUAGAUUCCUAUGUUGAAGUUUGGCAAUAUGUGUAACUUCAUUCUUGAACUCGUCGAGUCCUUGUCUAGAACUUUUUGAAAGCCUUUUCACAGCGAUUUCUUGUCCAUCUUCCAUCGUACCCUGAAAUCCAACAGCAUAUGUUAUGACCAAAAUUCAUGCUUUGUGGUUUGCACACUACUUGUAUCCAUCAUUCCAUAUUUUGACCACAAGUACAUGUAACUAUACAACUUCUACAACUUCAAAACUAUGAAGGACUCUCUGGUUUUACCUUAAAGACAGAUCCAAAACCGCCUUCACCAAGUUUGUUUUCAAUUGAAAAGUUACCGGUUGCAGAAACUAUAGUCAUCAAGUCAAAUAACGGUAAUUCCAAAUCCUCCUUUUGGUUGUGUCCCAGUUUUCCUGUAAAGACACAGUGACGGGUGAAAAAAACUCCCUAUACUACUGAACUAUGUAGUUUGGAAAGCAGAGGGGCAAAAUAGUACGGCCAACUUACCAACUUUUUGGUGCUGCUUCUUCCAAACAAAAAACAGCAGGGCAAGGCCCAAGAGCAGCAGUCCGGUAGACAACACAGUAGUGCUUAUUAUGAUUUUCAUUUUCUUUGCAUUGGAUUCAGAGUAUUUAGCGUUGAUCUUUGCAUCAUCUUCAUAAUCUACAAAUGAUAUUUUGAAGACAGAAAAUCUAUGAGUCGGAAAGUAAUAAACAAAAAAAAUAAAAACUGUAUAAUUUCUAUCAUCCAACUAAUAGUUUCUAGUUUGUGAGACAAUUCUAAAAGAGGAUAUUGCUUAUGGUGUCAAAAUUCGAAGUUAUAACUAUUAGAAUUAGUAUAAUGUUUCACUUCGUUAUGUCUUGACUUUGUUUCGAGCAUAUGAUUAUGAAUUUAUGACUGAAUGCAAAGUCACCAACAGGUGUUUUUUACAUACCUAGUUCUGCUGCGGCCAUUCUUAUAUAAAUAUCUUGCCCGUUUUCGGAAUAGUAUCUUAUAUCAAUCAGACCGCCGUACCACAGCAAGCACCCAGUUCCUCCAUCCCGAAUAUCCAAAUUUGUAUAAGCCGUGCAGGAGCAGUUCUUCAUGCACACCAUCUGGCAUUCCUUGAGGUUCAUACUUCUGUUAAACCAGGAUUGUUCUGUGCUAGGCAAUUUCAAACCCGAGUACUUUUGGAACACGUCUCCGGUGCAAUUUAGAGAAGUCUUUCUCACACAACCAUCAGACCAAUCUACCAAAUCCCAUUCUUUCGGAAACUUUGGUGUAAAUCCUUUCAAACAGCUACAAACCGGGGACUUUUCAAUGUUACAUGCACCAUAUACACCACAGAAUGCAUAGUUGUCACAGUUAUCAAUCUGGGCUGUUAGGUAAAGAAACCAAUCUUUGGUUCUAUCAAUCCAUGUGUAGCGCUGCACAAGUCCAUCUGAAGUUAACACCACCCUCGAAAAGAUUGAGCUGUUGUGAAGCUUGUAACUGUAGUACAUUUUAUCCGGCUCAGAAACAAAACCGUAUGUGUAUAUUGGGUUUGGAUUUAAAUGAGGCGUUCCACUGAACCGGACUCCAUUCCAUGGUCCAGUCCGAAAUUUUAUGACCGAACCGUUGCUCACAAAUAUUUCUUGAUAUCCUUUGGGACCAAGUUGAUAUGUAUAAUUGCCUUGAGAAGGAUCCUGAGGACUUUUCCAUGAUCUAAGAUGGCAAUUGAAGCCUGUAACUGUGUUCCUACCAAUCUCCAUUCCUGGUAAGAAUGUAUCGCCAGGGUAAUCAAAACUUUGCCACAGAAAGUUCUCAGAGUCAUCAUCACUACUAUCUAUCACGACAAGAUUACCCGAAUCCAAAAGGCGUGCCACUGGAUUCUGUGCAGUUCUCGAUGUGUUGGAGGACCAAACUGUGCUCAUGUUGUGGUUGAGGACAAGAAUUCCGGGGCUGGUGACCUUCAAAACGCCGGACAAAUCAGCGAGGGGCUUGUCUCUGUUGGCAAUCCAUACAAUGGUUGUAACAGAUAUCUGCUUGUACCAUAUCGCCACGUACCGUCUAUUAGAAGCAUCAGGAUACUUGUAAAAUCCUAGCUCAAACGUACCGCCAGUGGAAACUACAGUCUCACCGUCUCUAAUGGACUGAAAUGUACUUGUGGCGUCAUCAGCUGUGGAGAAUACUGCUGCGACGAUGAGCAGCAAAGAAGAGUAGAAAAGAAGCAAGCACAUCUUAGCCGAAGCUUUUGACGGAUUUUUCGUAAUGUGAUUUGAAUGUUUGUCUGUCAUUUGGACACCUUAUUGAAAUAACAUUGAUACCAUUUCGUGCAAGCAACCAAUCAUUUUCAAGUUCAAAAUUGUUGAAUAGUCGGGUGCGUGGGAAGACAAAUUGUUCUCCAAAGUGUGAAACUGAGAAAGUUGUCUUCAAUCCGAAGUAGACUUCGCAUUCAGUUAAGAAUGAUGUUGUCGUAGCCGGAUAUUUCACUAUGACAACUAAGACGUUUUCAUCCAGUAGAAAAUAUCCGAAUUAAUAUGUGGUCAUAUACAGUUCCCUCGGCUCAAAGGAAACUUAAAUGUCUGAUUGGUGUACUCUUUCGCAUUAGUCUUGUAUUCGAUAUCGUUUUCUUUCCUUUUCAAUUCUUGUAAUUCAAGAUUAAUCCCAAUCUAGAAAGUUUGAAUAAGAGCGUCUUCGGUGGGCGAUAAUAUUCCCUAUAACUGGUUGUAUGCUCAUUGUGUCUAUCUCCCAAAUCACGUUAAUUUUUUUCAUUUCAAAGUCAAUAUGUUACACAUGUAAUGGAUUAAUUUGGUACCCUGUCAUUUUCUCUAGUUAUAUUUUGGCGGGACUUGUUCAGAAUGAUUCCAGGACGACUGACUUCUAUUUCUUAUGCCGCUGUAUCUACCAUUCCCUGCGGAUUUUCUUGGUUGCUGAUUCUUGGUUGCUGAUUAAGUUGUGCACAAAAGAAAAAAACCAUUAGCUCAUACCAUACUGCAGUAAACAUUAGGAAAUACAGUGAACAAUCUGUUGAAUCCAAAUCACAGUAAUUCGAAUGUACUAUCUACUCAAAUUGAAUUCCUCUCCAAUCGAGUCGCCGUUGAUAUCAGAGCAAAGCAUAUGUAAAGCAAGAAAAUGUAUAAGCAGGAUUACCCGAGAAAUAUCUGAUCAACUUAACUCACUUCAAUAGACAUCAGAUCAAGUUAUGAUGAAAUAAACAGCAACAUGAAAUAUGAACUAUCGAGCCUCGAGUAGGGUAAAUGUGUCUUCAUUAGCUGAAAAAGUUGUAACCUUGUUUGCACAAGGAUCGACUUUGUUGUCAUCUAGAUCCCUUUCACUAUAAAAACCAGGUUUUUCAAGUUCAGGCAAUGCACUUUCACCACUCAACAUCAGAACUGCAGCUGGCAUGCUUGGCAUUUAUGCCGGAUUUCACUGCACGCAUAAAAGACCCACAUGGAUUGACCGCAAAACUUCAUGUGGAUUACUGGAGUCUCCUACUCAUGUAUCGAGCAUUUCAAUGGACUUGCCUUCUGUGUAUAAAUUCCAUGCCUAAAAGAUCACAACCACCAAUCGUACUGAAUAAAUAGAAGUAUAGAGAAUCAAGUAAAAACAAAUAAUAAUGCUAGACAAACCACAUUUUAGAUCUUAAGUGGAAUCGAAUCCAUUUUUUACAUGAAUUGUCGUCACCAGUUGUUAAUAGAGAAGUCACUGUCACAGUAGUACUUCAUUAGCUGAUGCAGUCAGAAUAUAGUCCCUCUAGUAUUAUUCGACGAAAAAUGAUCAACUUGACGGCUGACACUUACAUGUCCAUGCAGGUUGAGGCUGUGGUCUGGAUGAGAAAAUCCUCCGUUUCUUUUCCCUUCACUAUCUCAAGCACCAUAACACCAAAGCUAUACAUGUCAGAUUUUAUCAAGUAGAACCCAUCGAUCGCAUAUUCUGGGGACAUGUAACCACUGCAAAACAAUGUGUCAAAACCUACACUUUACAAGCAAGGUAUAUAGAAUGUCUGAUUGUACUUUUACAUUUCUUACUAUGUUCCAACCACUUUAUUUGUCGCUGCUGUAGUUUCAUUUCCUCCAAAACUUCUUGCCAGGCCAAAGUCUGAAAUUUUGGGGUUAAAUUCACCGUCUAAUAGAAUGUUGCCGGCUUUGAGAUCUUGAUGAAUUACUCAGAGUCUAGAAUCUUGAUGAAGAUAGAGGAGCUCCUGAGCAAUCCCAUCAAUAAUGUCAAAACGCUUAGGCCAAUCUAUAAGAUGCAGCAUCCUAGAAGCCUCACUAGAUUCCAGCGCUGAAGUUUGGCAAUAUGUGUAACCUCAUUCUUUAACCGGUUGAGUCCUUGCCUCGAAUGUUUCGAUAGACUUUUCACAGCUAUUUCUUGUCCAUCCAUCAGUGUACCCUGAAAUUCAUCAGCACGUAUCAUGAUCAAAAUUCAUACUACUAGCUAACUGUAUCUGUUACUCCUCCUAAAGUGACAUGCUCAAAUGUCAAGCUAAUUGUCGUGCGGACUGUGAUUUCACCUUAUAGACAGAUCCAAAGCCACCUUCCUCAACUUUAUUGUGGUUUGAAAAAUCAUUGGUAGCACAAAUCACAGUGCCCAAGUCAAAUAAUGGUAACUCCAGAUCUUCCCUUUGGUCCGAUCUCGGUUUUCCUGCAAAGCACAUAGUGAAGUAAAUCGUGUACCAUGGAACUGAACUUAGAAAACGGAGGGGUAGAAGAGUAGAAACUCAAAUAGCUUACCAUCUUGUUGGUGCUUCUUCUUCUGAAAACGUAAGAGGAGGGCUAGGCCCAGGAUUAAAAGUCCAGCAGACAACACAGUACUGGUUACUACGAUUCUCGUUUUCUUCACUUUGGAUUUUGCAUUGUCUGCUUGAAGUGGUAAUGAAGUAUUUGAAAGAAGAAAAUUAAUAAGGAAUUAUAAAGAAGAAUAAACACCACCAUACCUGGUUCAGAUGCAGCCAAUCUUAUGUAUAUAUCUUGCCCAUUUCCAUUGAAAGUUCUUGAGCAGCCACUUCCUCCUGCCCUGAUAUCCAAAUUUGCAAAAGCUGUGCAGGAGCAGUUUUCAGUGGAGUCAUUCUCAUACAGGCAUAUGUUGCACCCCGAAAGGCCCAUUUUUGUUGAAAAUUUGGUCUAAAUCCUUCCAAGCAACCACAUAGCGGGGAGUUAUCAAUAUUACACGCACCAUUUGGCCCACAUAUUCCAUAGUUGUCACAUGUAUCAGCCGGUGUUCCUAGUAAAACUUCCCAAACUUGGGCUCUAUUAAUCCAGUUGUAGCUCCUCACACUCUCGUCUUGUGUCAACACGGGAAAUGCCCAAUUCUCAAAUAAAAUUGCUUAAAGUUCUGCAAAAUGAAGACUACAUGUUACAGCAUCGACCAGAAACACUCGUCCAAACACUAAACCAACCUUGCAACCAUAUUUCUUCCAAGUAUAUUGUCCAAACGGGGUAGUCUUUGCUCAUACAGAAGAUUGAAAAUCCUUAAACACACUCGAUGCAGCGACGAACGAUUACUGUCUCCAUUAAGAUUUAUGCAACUGUUAAAAUGUUGGGAUUGUUUCAAAAAUUGCAUUACUUUUCUCCGCAAUUUACAAACAAGCAAAUCAUAAGUGACAAGAGCCCAUAAGACCAAUUGGCAACAAUUUGCAAUCCAGAUUUUUAGCUUCAUUUAUUGUUACCCAUCAACUAACUCAAUUCAAAAAGUGGAAAAAAAAACUGGAACAAUUUGUCCCAGACCCUGCGUAAAGCGGGAGCCUUGUGCACUGGGUACGACCUACGACGACUUCCAUCUAAUAAAUAUAGAAAUGGUUCAAGAACACGGGCAAUGCCCAAUUCUCAAAACAAACACAGAAAUAGAGAGAGAGAAAGAGAGAGAGAGAGAGAGAGAGAGAGAACUGACCUUUAUUGGUAGAAAAUGUUGCAGAAGCCAGCCAACCCAGAAGAAAGUUAAUUCAGGGGAAGAUUAUCGUCACCAGAUGUUAAUAGAGAAGUCACUGUCACACACUGUAUAUCAUUAGCUAAUGCAGUCAGAAUAUAGUCCCUCUAGCAUAAUUCGACGAAAAAUUAUCAACUUGACAGCUAGCACUUACAUGUCUUAGCAGGUUGAGGCUGUGGCCUGGAUGAGAAAAUCCUUUGUUUCUCUUCCCAUUCACUAUCCGAAAGCUGUGCUGCUGGAUUCGACGCAGAUGUUGGUGUGUUCGAGGACCAAACGCUUGUCUUGUUAGUAUCAACAAGGACAAGAAUUCCAGGGAUGGUGACCGUGAGUAGACCUGAUGAAUCAGUGGUGUGUCUCGGUUGGCUACCCAUACGAACUUUUUUACUUGAUUGCUAGAAUGGGACUUACAAUUACAAUUAACCGAGUGUUGACUGGCCAGCAUGUCCAGGUUCGGUUAGACUUAACUCCAUAUCAUGAGUAGCUGUCCAACCAAGUUCAUAGGCUUCAAGGAAACCGAUCUUUGCCUUGUCGGGGAGAUCAUGGGAAUGAACAAAUGGCACCUCGUUUGGCCACCCAAUCUCCAUUCUUAUAUUGGCACAGGGGCUAUCAAGUGUCUGAAUGUGAUUCUCACACUUCUUCAGGUUGCAGAACCUCAGCUUGAUUCCCUUCUUGUCUGCAAUGUCUUGAACCCUUUCCUGGACUCUCUGGGCCUCGACCCACAAUCUCUUGGAAGGUGGCAGAGGUUUGGUUCUUUCACUCUUUCUCCUCCUCAACAAAGGCUUCAUAGAUCCUGUACCAGCAUUUCAUCGAUCCAAGGACCUGCUGUUAAAAGCUUCUCACAUAAGAGAUACACAUAAACACGUGCAAUCCAAUAUCAAGAGGACUCAAGAGACGGAUAUAAUUUUUAGAAGAUAAAACUAGAUUGAGGAUCCUUGUUACGACAGCAGAAAUGCGAAAACUAUUAAGUAGUUGAUGAUUACUAUCAAUAGAGUUGGACUUAAUUUAGCUUAUACAUUGAACUUAUUUUUGGUGUGUGCAUGUGCUUCAGUCAGUAAGACCAAUCCUAAUUAAAGUAAGCUGUCAUUAAAAAAAUUGCAUUCAUGAAAUCAAUUUACAGUAUGUAACAAGCAGGCAAUUGGUAAAGAAGAUUAAAUGCAGCAUACCAUCUUGUGCUGCAUGGAAAUUGGAACUUUGGAAAACUGUGUCUGUUAAAGAGUUGAUUGGUGGGGUGAGAUCUCUGCAUAAAGUCAUCAACCGCUACUGGAAGCUGGAACUGAGCUUCAACCCCAUGACCAGCAGCUCUCAUCUCUGAACAACUAAGAUUGGUCAUGGAUUUAGGCAUGAAUUUAAAAAGCCACAAGAAAUCGCCCAAACAAGUUGCUCUGUGUAUUAGCAGUCUCCAUUCUCUGCAGUGCAGGGUUAACAUAUCCUGCAGUUGCCUGAUAGAGUGUGAGUCCAGGGUAAACAAUAGCUUCUUGAGGACCAAGAUCUUCGUCCACAAGAACCCAACGACCCUGAAAGUCCUUUAUGUGUAGACCAGCCUUGCCUGACUUGACAAGAGAUAUCAAGCUUUUGUCAACUUGAUGCUCAUGGUCAGAAAACAUAACCAACUGGCCAUCCUCUUGGGUCGUAAAACUAUGGUGUUGUGUAACCUGAAAUGAUGGCCUUGCAUGACAACAGACAGAUAAUACUGAAGAAGAUAUUUACCUGUUUCUUAAGGGAACAUUAUCAAGUACGUCAGUAAAUGGUGAGCUCCUCAAGUUCAAAUAGAAGCUGAUAGCGUGCAAUAUAUCUCGAGCUGCCAUUGCAAGCAGUGAAAAUAUAUCUGGUAAAGCUGCUGGAGGAAAUUCCAUUGUGUUGUCGGGCUCUAAAGGAGUGAAUCCAGGUCUGUAAUCAUAGGUUUCUAGCCACAAUUGAGGAUCUGCAUUAUAAUCGGAAGUCUUGCACCAGUCACGGGGAUCAUUGUUAUUAACCAUAUCUGCAGCUGGGUAUGAUGCUUUCUGGUGGAAGUAGAGGCGAGCCGAAUCUAAACCCGACCUCAAAAGAGCCCCAUCACUCACUGGAAAACUGAAUGAUGGCAGCAGAAUAGAGUGCUAGUGAUUGUGACAAAGUCGAAACAGAUAGUUUGUAAGAAUCUGAUGGAAGGCCUUCACCAGGUGCCAGAUCAGUUAGCUUCACACGACCUAGAGAUGGCAGGCCAUUACUUGCCAUGAAACCCUUUGGGUAUACUUGCUACCUAAUUUUGAAGAGAGGCACAGGUUACACUGACAAACUCAAAAUUAAAAACUGAAACAGCAUAAUCAUUCAUCAAUCAGAAUCUCUCUCUUUUUUUCUUAUGAGAAUUUAGGAACUCCUUGACCCCUAAGUUGAAGCCACAAAACUGAACCAUCUACGUACUGCAAGAAGAAAGUAUAUGAAGCAUAAAUAUAUACGUACAAAUACAUGUGUGUACAUUAUGAACAUUUUAUAUUGAAAAAGUGCUCUCCUAAGGUCCUUAAAAAGUCAAGCUGCUCAACUAUUGAUCGUCUAUGUACGCUAGAAAUGCAAGAUCUAUGAUACGUUGCAUGCCGAGGGGACAUUUGACCUAUGUAUAGAUAAAGUUAGAAGCUAAGUUUUUCCAAUUACUAGUAUGAGCAACAACAACAACAACAACAACAACAACAAAGCCUUUCCCACUAAGUGGGUCGGCUAUAUGAAUCCUUAGACGCCAUUGCGCUCGGUUUUGUGUCAUGUCCUCGUUAGAUCCAAGUACUCUAAGUCUUUUCUUAGGUCUCUCAAAGUUUUCCUAGGUCUUCCUCUACCCCUUCGACCCUGAACCUGUCCCGUAGUCUCUCCUACUUACUCGGAUAUCCUCAUUCCCAAUUAUCCUUUCUCGUUGCCACACAUCACGAAGCAUCCUCAUUCCGCCACACCCAUUUUGUGUACGUGUUGAUGCUUCACGCCCAACAUCUGUGCCAAUACAACAUCGGCCUUAUUGCCUCCUAAAUUUUCCUUGACUUCAGUGCCUACGACGGUCACACACAGCCGGGAUGCACUCUACACUUCAUCAUCCAGCUUGUAUUCUAUGGUUGAGAUCUCAUCUAAUUCUCUCGUUCUCUUUGCACGAUAGUCCUAGUAGCGAAACACGCUUUUUGGUGAUCUUCGCUAGAUUGCUCCGGUCAUUAGUGGGUAAGUAUAUAAAUGGAUAGAGACAAGAAAGCAAACACAAGAUGUACGUGGUUCACCCAGAUGGCUACGUCAGAAAUAGAGGGAUUCUCAUUAAUUGUGAAGGUUUACCAAGUACAUAGGUUCAAGCUCUCCUUUAGUGAGUACAAGUGAAUGAUUAGUACAAAUGACAUUGGGAAAUAUUGUGGGAGAAUGAUCUCGUAAUCACGAACUCUAAGUAUCGGAACGUAUCGUCUUGAUUGCCUUAUCUGUCUCAUAGGUAAUGUGGCAUCUUCUCUGGAGUACUCUUCUCCAUCCAGGGUUGUAUCUUAACUAGUGGAGAUGACAAGGUAAUGUAUCAAUUUCACUUGAAGCUUACUUGUAGUUUCAGGUUGGUCAGCGCGAUACAAACCAUGUAGUGGAGUCCCCAAGUCGCCGAGCUAGAGGAUCUGCUAAAAGAGGUGACAGACAAGGUAAGCAAUCAGAGCUCGGCUGAUUGUUCACUUCUCCCUAUCUUGCAGGCAGCAUGAAGGAUAAAGAGAAGAAAUGAGAAGAGAUUGAUAUGGGUACUUUGCUUUUGAAGAAGUAACUUCCAACAGGCUUAUUCUUGAACUGAGCUGGAGGGUUUUCUGUUUCCUCCGAGUAUAAGGCCGACUGAAGGAUUUGAGGGUCAAACAAGUCCAUCAAAUCUAGAGUACGUUCGACCCCUGAUAUGGGAUACUUUGCUUUGACAGAGUAUGGAAUGAUGGCACGUGUUGCUGUUCGCUUGUCUCCACAUGCUUCCUUGUAUCCUUCUCCCUUGCCCUAGCUGUUCCUCAGGCACGAUUGCGGUAUCUUCCUGGAAGCAUAAGAUGUUGAAGAUGUACUCGAGGCAAUGGGUAAGUAAUAGGUAAGGGGUUCUAGGCAGUCAGUUCCUGGCUGGAAGUUUGAUUCCAAGUGCUGACUGAUUGCUCUCUUCUCCUUGUUUGCAAUAAGAACAAGGCAAAGGAAAAGACAGGGAAAAAGCAUGAUAUGGGAUACUCUUGCUUUUUAACCCUGAUGAUAUGAAUAUCUUGCUCUAGUAUAGCUUGUUUGCAGAGAUAUUAUCGCGGGGAAAGAAGCUGAUAUUCGAAAGGCGUUGGGUGCCCCAUAUGAGGAGGGUUGAGCAUUUUUGCAGGUCUGCCUGUCGUUGGGGAUGGAGGUCGACAUAUAUAGAGUCUCCUUAAAACAAGUAAUAAUGCUAUUCCGUUUCCUACUUGGUCAUAGCCAGGGGGGCUCCAGCGUUCACAUGUUUUAAUUGUCAGAGCACUUUGAAAGUGGUUUGUGGUAUUGGAAAGGUGAUGUUGCAUGUGAAGUUACAGACAGCUUUAUCCCCAAGGAGUCGGCUCUUGAAGUUGGGAAAGUUUGCCUCUUGUUUUCGAACAAGCAACUCCUUGGGGUCUGGCUCCGAGAUUCGGAGACGAUGCCUCUUCGAUUUGAGAAAGCAAUCAUGCUGGGGGGCUCUCGAGAUUCGGAGAACGAUGCCUCUUCGAUUUUUGAGAGAUGCCUAUUGUGGGUUUAUCCAAAGGCAUUUAUUCCUUCGUCUUCUAGGCUGUACGCGUAAUGAGCUCCAAUGUCAACCUGUGCCUCCUUCUAGGGUUCUGUCCAGUACUAAGGUCGAAUGAUCCCUCCGGUGCCUCUCUUUCUGGGCUCACGACUGCUGAGAUUCUAAGCAACCUUUGUGAGGCUCCCUCUUGUUUGUUUGUUAAUAACAUUUGUAAUCGGGGAUAUCUUUUCCUUCAUUUCACGUAUUGUUUAAUUACACAACCUUCUUCGCUAGUUCUUUGAAUUUUCUUUGUUGAAGCUUUGUGAGUGGGCAUUAGGUUUGAGUAUGUUCCUUAAUUUCCUGAGUGAGGAAAACUUCUCGGUUGGAGACUGGAAAAUCCAAGUCAUUGAGUGGGAUCGGCUAUAUGAAUUCUGAACGCUUGUGCUCGGUCUUGUGUUAUGUCCUCGUUAGAUCCAGUACUUAAGUCUUUUCUUAGUCUCUUCCAAGUUUUCUAGUCUUCCUACCCCUUCGGCUGAACUCUAUCCUAGUCGCAUCUUCAAUCGAAGUCAGUAGGCCUUCUUUGCACAUGUCCAAACCCGUAAAACCGAUUUUCUCUCAUCUUUCCUUCAAUUGCGGCUACUCCUACUUUACAUGGAUAUCCUCAUUCAUAAAUCUUAUCCUUUCUCGUGUGCCCACACAUCCAACGAAGCAUCCUCAUCUCCGCUACCCAUUUUGUGUAGUGUUGAUGCUUUACGCCCAAAUUCUGUGUCAUACAGCAUCGCCGGCCUUAUUGCCUCUAUAAAAAUUUUCCCUUGAGCUUCGUGGCAUAUAGGCGUCACACAGCAGCCGGAUCAAUCUUCCAUUCAUCCAUCCACUUGUAUCUAGGUUGAGAUUUCCAUCUAUUCUCCGUUCUUUGCAAUAGAUCCUAGUAACGAAAACGGUCGCUCUUGGUAUUUCUUGAUCUCGAUCCUCACCCCUAAUUUUGGCUCCAUUGCACUGAACUUGCACCUCAUUUUCUGUCUUUGAUCGGCUUAGGCGAAGAUUUAGAUUCCAAACUCCUCUCCAAAGGUAAGUUUGCAUUACCCUUCCUGAGUUCAUCUAUCAACACUAUUCGUCUGCGAAGCAUACACCAAGAAUAUCAUCUUGAAUAUGUCCUGUUAACUCAUCAAUUACAACGCAAAAANUAUAUGGGCUCAAGCAGGCGCCCCGUGCAUGGUCCAAUGUUUUUCCACUCAUUUGGAAGAUUUGGGUUUCCCCUCUACGCGGUCAUCGUUUUUACCUAAUUCAUGGCUCAACUCGUAUUUAUCUCUUAAUUUAUGUUGAUGAUAUUUUGGGUCCGGGAAUAAUCUCUUAUAUUGUCACCUCAUUAAGAUUUUGGGCCUCCGUUUCUCUAUAAGGACCUUGGACGGUUCAUUAUUUCUUAGAUGGAGGUGGUCCGCACUCCAUCAGGUCUCUCUCUUUCCCAACAGAAGUAUGCACUGACCUCCUUACCGCACCAAAUGCGGUGCCGGGUUCCUACUCUGCCGUUAGUGGGCGACGGCUCAGUCUUCGGAUGGUGACUCUGCCGGAUCCUACUGAAACCGAAGUGUUGUCGGCGCCCUUCAUUACUUGACUCUUCACUCGCCCCGAAUCAACUUCGCCGUCAACCAAGUCUGCCAAUCUUCACCAGCCGACUUCUACUCAUUGGGCCGCGUCAGCAUUCUUUCGUUACCUUGUCGGCACUACUUCUCACGGUCUUAUCUACAAGCUGGUUCUUUUGUCUUACGGCAUUUCCGAUGCCGAUUAUGCCGGGAUCCUGAUGAUCGGCGUUCCACCGGGGGGCUAUUGCUGUACUGGGUUCCAAUCUUGUCUCAUGGAGUGCCAAGAAACAAAAUGGGGUCUCUCCGGUCCAGCACUGAGCCGAGUAUCGUCAAUUGCAAUCACCGCUGCCCUCUUUCAUGGUUUCGUAUGCUGUUCGUGACCUCCAGUUUCCUCUCCAUUGUCCUUACCACUGUUCGUGUGACAAUAUCAGUGCUAAUUCCUUUGCUUUCCAACCGGUGUUUUGCCCGCACUCGGCAUGUUGAGGUAGAUUCCAUUUAUGUUCGUGAAAGGUUGUCGCAAGGAGCUUUGAUGUUCAGUUAUCUUUCUAUCAUGAUCAGAUUGCUGACAUCUUCACCAAGGGCCUUUCUCUUCCUCGUUUUCGACUUCUGGUUUCCAAGCUUCCUGUACUUGAUUGUACUGUCAGCUUGCGGGGGUAAAGGAUGAUACAUUCCUGAUCUCUUGGGAUUGUUUCCUGUUUAUCAUGAUUUCCAGAUUUCCCUGUUUUAUUAAAACAUUCCCUUUAUGUAUUCUUUGUAGAUUAAUUAUACUUGUAAAUCAAGUCAUUGUACACUAUUUAAAUCAAUGAUAAUGCACCCUCUAUAGUAUCGAGGGAUUGAGCCAAAAUACCUUCUUUUACUUUUGCUGUCUUGUCUGCAAUUCCUCCUUUGAGUUAUCUUUUAGUUAGUAUCAACAAGGACAAGAAUUCCAGGGAUGGUGACCGUGCGUAGACCUGAUGAAUCAGUGGUGUGUCUCGGUUGGCUACCCAUACGAACUUUUUUACUUGAUCGCUAGAAUGGGACUUACAAUUACAAUUAACCGAGUGUUGACUGGCCAGCCUGUCCAGGUUCAGAUAGACUUAACUCCAUAUCAUGAGUAGCUGUCCAACCAGGUUCAUAGGCUUCAAGGAAACCGAUCUUUGCCUUGUCGGGGAGAUCAUGGGAAUGAACAAAUGGCACCUCGUUUGGCCACCCAAUCUCCAUUCUUAUAUUGGCAAAGGGGCUAUCAAGUGUCUGAAUGUGAUUCUCACACUCCUUCAGGUUGCAGAACCUCAGCUUGAUUCCCUUCUUGUCUGCAAUGUCUUGAACCCUUUCCAUCAGGACUCUCUGGACCUCGACCCACAAUCUCUUGGAAGGUGGCAGAGGUUUGGUUCUUUCACCCUUUCUCCUCCUCAACAAAGGCUUCAUAGAUCCUGUUCCAGCAUUUCAUCGAUCCAAGGAACCUAAUGUUAAAAAGCUUCUCACAUAAGAGAUACACAUAAACACGUGCAAUCCAAUAUCAAGAGGACUCAAGAGACGGAUAUAAUUUUUAGAAGAUAAAACUAGAUUGAAGAUCCUUGUUAUGACAGCAGAAAUGCGAAAACUAUUAAGUAGUUGAUGAUUACUAUCAAUAGAGUUGGACUUAAUUUAGCUUAUACAUUGAACUUAUUUUUAGUGUGUGCAUGUGCUUCAGUCAGUAAGACCAAUCCUAAUUAAAGUAAGCUGUCAUUAAAAAAAUUGCAUUCAUGAAAUCAAUUUACAGUAUGUAACAAGCAGGCAAUUGGUAAAGAAGAUUAAAUGCAGCAUACCAUCUUGUGCUGCAUGGAAAUUGGAACUUUGGAAACCGUGUCUGUUAAAGAGUUGAUUGGUGGGGUGAGAUCUCUGCAUAAAGUCAUCAACCGCUACUGGAAGCUGGAACUGAGCUUCAACCCCAUGACCAGCAGCUCUCAUCUCUGAACAACUAAGAUUGGUCAUGGAUUUAGGCAUGAAUUUAAAAGCCAAAGAACAUCGCCCAAACAAGUUGCUCUGUGUAUUAGCAGUCUCCGUUCUCUGCAGUGCAGGGUUAACAUAUCCUGCAGUUGCCUGAUAGAGUGCGAGUCCAGGGUAAACAAUAGCUUCUUGAGGACCAGUCACGAGGGUCAUUGUUAUUAACCAUAUCUGCAGCUGGGUAUGAUGCUUUCUGGUGGAAGUAGAAGCGAGCCGAAUCUAAACCCAACCUCAAAAGAGCCCCAUCACUCACUGGAAAACUGAAUGAUGGCAGCAGAAUAGAGUGCUAGUGAUUGUGACAAAGUUGAAACGGAUAGUUUGUAAGAUUCUGAUGGAAGGCCUUCAGCAGGUGCCAGAUCAGUUAGCUUCACACGACCUAGAGAUGGCAGGCCAUUACUUGCCAUGAAACCCUUUGGGUAUACUUGCUACCUGAUUUUGAAGAGAGGCACAGGUUACCACUGACAUAACUCAAAAUUAAUAAACUGAAAACAGCAUAAUCAUUCAUCAAUCAGAAUCUCCUCUUUUUUUUCUUAUGAGAAUUUAGGAACUCCUUGACCCUUAAGCCGAAGCCACAAAAACUGAACCAUCUACGUACUGCAAAGAAAGAAAGUAUAUGAAGCAUAAAUAUAUACAUACAAAUACAUGUGUGUACAUAUAUGAACAUUUUAUAUUGAAAAAGUGCUCUCCUAAGGUCCUUAAAAAAGUCAAGCUGCUCAACUAUUGAUCGUAUAUGUACGCUAGAAAUGCAAGAUCUAUGAUACGUUGCAUGCCGAGGGGACAUUUGACCUAUGUACAGAUAAAGUUAGAAACUAAGGGCCUGUUUGGUAUCCUAUUUGAAAAUUUUUAUCAUUUCUCAAAACAUUUUUUAAGAACAUUUCUUGAAAAUAGUUUUUUUGAAGACUCAAAAACUUGAUUGGUUUCUAAUUUAAAAUUUUUAAAUCUUACAACUUAAACUAUAACAAAGAGAUCUAAAAAGAGGAGGACGCAAGAGAGGUAGAAAGAGGAGAGAGGAGGAAAGAAAGUAAGAGAUGAUUUAAGGAAAAAGAAAGAAAAGAGAGAAUUGGACGAGAUAAAGAGGAAGAUGAGUGAGAAAAAAAACCUAAAGAAUAAAGAAAGCGAAUUGGAGAAGAGACGAAAAAGAUAAAAAAAAAAAAAGGAUAAAGAAAGAAGAAAAGAGAGAGAUUUAGAGUGAGAGUAGAGGAGGAAGAGAAAAGAAAGAAGUGAGUUUAAGUUUAAAAACUCUAAAAACUCACUUUUUAGUUUUUAGAUAAUAUAUUAUAUUUUUUAGUUAGUCUUAAUUUCAGUUUUUUAAAAUAGUCCUACCAAACAAGUUUUUAAGGUCUAAAACUUGAAAAUUGUUUUUGAGUUUAAAAAGUUGGAUUCAAGUACACUACCAAACAGGCCCUAAGUUUUUCCAAUUACUAGUAUGAGCAACGAACACAAAAAAAUUUCUUAUUAAACUUCGAUCUAAUAAUCUCUUUAGUCAGGAAAUUGAAGUGAUAUCCAAAAUCUGCCACAAUGUCAUCUAAACUCAACACAAAAAAAUAAAAUUGCUGAACAGUUCUGCAAGAUGAAGACUAAAUGCUACAGCAUCGACCGGAAACACUCUUCCAAACACAAAACCAGCCUUGCAACCAUAUUUCUUUCAAGUAUAUUGUCCAAACGGGGUAGUCUUUGCUCAUACAGAAGAUUGAAAAAUCCUUAAACACACUCGAUGCAGCAACGAACGAUUACUGUCUCCAUUAAGAUUUAUCCAACUGUUAAAAUGUUGAGUUUGUUUCAAAAAUUGUAUUACUUUUCUCCCCAAUUUUCAAACAAGAGCCCAUAAGACCAAUUGGCAACAAUUUGCAAUCCAGAUUUAGCGUCAUUAAUUGUUACCCAUCAACUAAUUCAAUCCAAAACGUGGAAAAAAAAAACUGGAACAAUUUGUUUCCUUUACUUGAUCUAAUAAAUAUAGAAAUGGUUCAAGAACACGGGAAAUUCCCAAUUCUCAAAACAAACAGAGAGAGAGAGAGAGAGAGAGAGAGAGAGAGAACUGACCUUCAUUGGUAGAAAAUGUUGCAGACGCCAACCAACCCAGAAGAAAGUUAAAUUCACGGGAAGAUUAGGGCUUUACAAAAGGGAGAGAGGAGAGGAACACACAACACAGUGCCUUUUUUCAAUUUUUUUUAACAGUUACACUUUCAUGGUGGAUUUUACUUGCGGCAACCAAAACUUGGUGAUGAGAUGAAAAUUUUGGAUUUGGCAGUGACCGAACACAGAAGUUGUCGAAAGCCAUAUCACCUACGCCAUAAAUUUUUCGUUCUGACCGGAAUGGGUGGUACAUCGUUUGUUUAUAUAUAAAUUGUAAGAAAUUUUAUUUUUUAAGUUAUUAAUUUUUUAAUAUAUAUAUCUCAUUAUUUAUAUAAUGAUACGAAUUGUAUCAUUUCAUAUGCUAGUCAUAUUGAAAUAUUUCUUCUACUUGGAUAUGUCUUUCCGCUUCUCAAAUUGGAGAAAUUUAUGUAAGAAGUAGCUAAUGUUAUUCACACGUUUAUUUUUAUCUUUCAAAUACCUUUGUUAAUAUUUGGCCUUGAUUUUCUCCAAUUUACUCCAUCCGAGCAGCGAAUAUUGAAAGAACAUAUGAGAAGUAAAAAUAAGUAUGUAGAUAGCAUAACCCUCUUUUUUAUAUACAAUUGUUAUUUUUUUAAUUUGUUUUGGAGAAUUCAACAAAACCGUCAUAAAACUUAUUUUCAUAGCACUUUUGUUGUUUUGUAAAAAUUUUCAGAAUUCAUUUAAAACGUUUCGAAAAUGUUCCCAUUGAUGAAAAUUUGUUCUAGCCACAUACUAAAAUCUGUUAGAAUUUUUCUCCAUUGAUUUUUUUUUUUUGCCUUAAAAAUGAACAAUGUUUGGCCACUCAAGAAUGAAAAUGCCUCAGAAACAGUUCGUAAUACUUUCAUCAAUUCCUACCAUAUGUUUUUAUAUAGCUCAAUGACUAAACAAUAUAAUUUUUUUUUUUGCUGAAAAAUCAUCUUUACGAAUCGAUUUAUAAUAUGAUAUUUCCGAUCAUAUUCACAAACUUUUGUGAAUUGGCCUAAAGAGUGUAGCUAUGUGACAAUGACUUAUAUAACAUUGCCUCCCGAUUGAAGAAGUUAUAGGAAAAUCAAGAGACAAAAUAAAGACGAAAAUGUGUACGAAAAUUAUUUCCAAAAUUUUAUCGAGCCUCGACUAGUGAAAUAGUGACUUCAUUAGCUGAGCAUGUUUUAGAAGAAUGACCGGCUUCGAGUUCACUCAUAUCCCUUUCACUGUAAAAACCAGGUUUUAGAGGUGGGGGCAAUGCACCUUCACUACCCAACAUUAGAAUUGCGGCUGACAUGCUCGGCCUGUCUUCUGGAUUCCUCUGCACACACAAAAGACCCACAUGAAUCGUUCUCACAACUUCAUGCAGAGUGAUGGAGUCCUCUAUCGAUGCAUCAAGCAGUUCGAGAGGCCUGCCUUCUGUGUGUAGCAUCCAUGCCUAAAACACGAAAACUAGUGUACUUAGCAGAAGUAGUAAAGUCGAGCGAUAAGAAUUUUUAACUUGACAUUUGAUGUUGUUACACUCACAUGUCCAAGAAGGUUGAGUUUGUGGUCUGGAUGAGAGAAUCCUCUAUUUCUACUCCACUCACUAUCUCUAGCACCAGAACACCAAAACUAUAGACGUCGGACUUUAUAGAGUAAAAACCAUCAAUUGCAUAUUCUGGGGACAUGUAACCGCUGCAGACCAAUGUGUCAAAAAACAUUUUUAUACGCAAAGAAUCUAGACUUUCUAGUUUCUAUUAGUGUUUUUAAAAAUUCAUUAAAAAAGAGCUGUACAAUUGUGUUUUAGGAUACUUACUACGUUCCGACCACUUUCUUCGUUUCAAUUCCUCCAAAGCUUCUAGCCAGGCCAAAGUCUGAGAUUUCGGGUUAAAUUCACUGCCUAAUAAAAUGUUACUUGCUUUGAGAUCUCUAUGAAUAACUCUCAAUCUAGAAUCUUGAUGAAGAUAGAGGAGCCCUCGAGCUAUCCCAUUAAUAAUUUCAAAGCGCUUCGCCCAGUCUAAUAAUAUCCUUCUUGUUUGAUCUGCAAAAUAUCAUAAUUCACAAUUGUCAAAAAAUACAUCGUGCUAGGUUGCUAGCAUAAGUGGACUAAUUGAACUAAAUGCAAGGUUUUGGAGUGGUCAAACCAAAAAUAAAGAAGUCUAAGCUCUUGUUAGGCAUGAACUUGUAGAUCAGUAUCAUCUCAUCUUCUUGAAUGCAGCAUCCAAGAAGCUUCACUAGAUUCCUGUGCUGAAGUUUGGCAAUAUGUGUAACUUCAUUCUUGAACUCGUUGAGUCCUUGUCUAGAAUUUUUUGAAAGCCUUUUCACUGCGAUUUCUUGUCCAUCUUGCAUCGUACCCUAAAAUCCAUCAACGUAUGUUAUGACCAAAAUUCAUAUUUUGUAGUUUGCACACUACUUGUAUCCAUCAUUCCAUAUUCUGACCAGAAUUACAUGUAUCUAUACAACUUCGAAACUAUGAAGGACUAUCUAGUUUUACCUUAAAGACAGAUCCGAAACCGCCUUCACCAAGUUUGUUUUCAUUUGAAAAGUUAUUGGUUGCAGAAACUAUAGUCAUCAAGUCAAAUAACGGUAAUUCCAGAUCCUCAUUUUGGUUGCGUCCCAGUUUUCCUACAAAGACGCAGUGACAAGUGAAAAAAAUUCCCUAUACAACUGAACUAUGUAGUUUGGAAAGAAGAGGGGCACAAUAGUACAACCAACUUACCACCUUUUUGGUGCUGCUUCUUCCAAACAUAAAACAACAGAGAAAGGCCCAGGAUCAGCAAUCCGAUAGACAACACAAUAGUGCUUAUUAUGAUUCUCAUUUUCUUUUCAUUGGAUUCAGAGUAUUUAGCGUUGAUCUUUGUAUCGUCUUCAUGAUCUACAAAUGAUAUUUAUGAAAACAGAAAAUCUAUGAGUCGGAGAGUAAAAAACAAAUAAAUAAAAACUGUAUAAUGUCUAUCAUCCAACUAAUAGUUUCUAGUUUGUGAGACAAUUCUAAUAGAGGAUAUUGCUAAUUGUGUCAACAUUCAAAGUUAAAACUGUUAGAAUUAGUACAAUGUUUCACUUCGUUAUGUCUUGACUUUGUUUCGAGCAUAUGAUUAUGACUAAAUGCAUAGUCACCAAAAGGUGUUUUUUACGUACUUUGUUCUGCUGCGGCCAUUCUUAUAUAAAUAUCUUGCCCGUUUUCAGCAGUGUAUCUUAUAUCAAUUAGAUCACCGUACCACAGCAAGCACCCAGUUCCUCCAUCCCGGAUAUCCAAAUUUGUAUAAGCCGUGCAGGAGCAGUUCUUCAUGCACACCAUCUCACAUUCCUUGAGGUUCAUACUUUUGUUAUGCCAUGAUUGUUCUGUGCUAGGCAAUUUCACCCCCGAGUACUUUUGGAACAUGUCUCCGGUGCAAUUUAGAGAAGUCUUUCUCACACAGCCAUGAGACCAAUCCACCAAAUCCCAUUCUUUCGGGAACUUUGGUGUAAAUCCUUUCAAACAGCUACAAACCGGGGACUCUUCAAUGUUACAUGCACCAUGUACACCACACAAUGCAUAGUUUACACAGUCAUCAAUUUUGGCUGAUUGGUAAAGAACCCAACCUCUGGUUCUAUCAAUCCAUGUGUAGCGCUGCACAAGUCCAUCUGAAGUUAACACCACCCUCGAAAAGAUUGAGUUGUUGUGAAGCUUGUAACUGUAGUACAUUUCAUCAGGCUCAGAAACAAAACUGUAUGUGAAUAUAGGGUUUGGAUUGAACUGAGGGCUUCCACUGAACCCGACUCCAUUCCAUGGUCCAGACCGAUAUUUAAUGACCGAACCUUCCCUCACAAAUAAUUCUGCAUAUCCCUUGGGACCAAGUUGAGAUGUACGAUUUCCUUGAGAAGGAUCCUGAGGACUUUUCCACGAUCUAAGAUGCCAAUUGAAGCCUGUAACUGUGUUCCUACCAAUCUUCAUACCUGGUAAGAAUGUAUCGCCAGGGUAAUCAAAACCUUGCCACAGAAAGUUCUCAGAGUCGUCAUCACUCCUAUCUAUCACGACAAGAUUACCCGAAUCCAAAAGACGUGCCACUGGAUUCUGUGCAGUUCUCGAUGUGUUGGAGGACCAAAUUGUGCUCAUGUUGUGGUUGAGGACAAGAAUUCCGGGGUUGGUGACCUUCAAAACGCCGGACAUAUCAGCGAGGGGCUUGUCUCUGUUGGCAACCCACACAAUGGUUGUAACAGAUAUCUGUUUACCAUAUCGCCACGUACCGUCUAUUAGAAGCAUCAGGAUAGUAAAAUCCUAGCUCAAACGUACCGCCAGUUGAAACUACAGUCUCACCGUCUCUAAUGGACUGAAAUGUACUCGUGGCGUCAUCAGCUGUGGAGAUUACGGCUGCGACCAUGAGCAGCAAAGAAGAGUAGAAAAGAAGCAAGCACAUCUUAGCUAAAGCAUUUGACGGAUUUUUCAUAAACUUCAUGGGAAAGCACUGAAUAUUGUCUGUCAUUUGAACACCUUAUUGAAAUAACGUUGAUACCUUUUCCUGCAAGCAACCAAUCAUUUUCAAGUUCAAUAUUGUUGAAUAGUCGGGUGCGUGAGAAAGUUGUCUUCAAUCCGAAGUAGACUUCGCAUUCGGUUAAGAAUGAUGUUGUCGUAGCCGGAUAUUUCACUAUGACAACUAAGAUUGUUCAUCUAGUAGAAAAUAUCCGAAUUAAUAUGUGGUCAUAUCCAGUUCCCUCGGCUCAAAGGAAACUUAAAUGUCUGAUUGGUGUACUCUCUCGCAUUAGUCUUGUAUUCGAUAUCGUUUUCUUUCCUUUUCAAUUCUUGUAAUUCAAGAUUAAUCCCACGUUAGAAAGUAUCAAUAAGAGCGUCUUCGGUGGGCGAUAAUAUUCCCUGUAACUGGUUGUAUAUCUCAUUGUGUCUAUCUCCCUAAUCACGUUAAGUUUUUCAUUUUCAAAGUCAAUCUGUUACACAUGUAAUGGAUCAAUUUGGUACCCUGUCAUUUUCUUUAGUUUAUACUAAAAAUUAUUGGCCGCACGUUGUUGCAGGAUUAAAAAUUGUAAAAAGCAUUAUAUUUGAAAGAUAUAAAAGAUUGUGUCAAGAAGAUUAAUACAACUCAUUGCUAUAUUUAAUUGAUACUCCACAUAAAAAUCGUAGAAGUUUUGGCUAUCUAUGUACAUAAAAUAUUAGAUCAACACAUUCCACUUAGGUAGUUUUUGUGAUUUUCGAUUGACAGCAGUACUUAAAUACGAAAGAUUACGAAACUUUGGGUUAUUUACAUGAAAAAAAUGUUAAGAAAUACUGUCAUUUACAUUGAUAAAAUAUGACAAAAAUUGUUCAAUGGAAUACCAAAAGAUCACUCCACUACUCUUGAUUGUCAAGAAAUUAGUUUAAACCAAUCCAAAGAUCAAAACUCUUUCAAAAUUCCAUGUGUAUUCAGUUUCUCUAAAUCAACCAACUUCUCCAUUCCAAACCAUCUAACAAAUAUUUGGCAGCAAUACAGCCAUCAACAAACAUUUUAAACCCAUUUCCAUGUGUAUUAAUGAUUUUCAACCAAAUUAUUUGAAGAUGGGGAAUCACAGAGCGAGCUUAAUUAGGAACCAAAGAAGAUCUGCAAAAGCAAGUUAAGAGAUCAUCGUACUACAGAAGCAAAUUACAUAAUAAAAUUAAGAGAGCAUUAUAUUACCAAAGCAUAAUAAUAUGUUCAUUUCCAAAUGUAUUACGAAAACCUAUUGUUUCAUUUUUUUUCAACCCACAAAAUUUACAGUUUAGUUCAAAAAAUUUGAUCUGAUUAUUAAUAUUCACACGGAAAAGAUACGACUCAAAUGAACUGGGCAUUUGAAGUCACUUUCUUAUUUCUUAUAACCACAUCAGUAUCAUAUAUAUAUAUAUAUAUAUAUACAAACGUAGCAAAACAGCCCAGAGUUUUGGAACUGUAUAAAACGUAGCAAAAAGAAAAUGGGUUUGUUUCUUCACUUUGUUCCUCCUCCUUUCUUCUGAUACGUAGGUGCUUUGACACUUUGUACAGCUCCAAAGCUGCCUCCUUGAGAAAACCAGUUUUUGGAAGCUCAACAAACCCUGCUUCUCCCAGAUGGUUCUGAACAAAGCUUCACCUGCAUCACUCGCACCAUGGUCUAUACACCUACAUGCAACUUUUGAUUUGAUUAUUAUAUAUUUUAUUAUGUCGAUACUCUACUAUAGAAACAAAAAUAAUUACACAAUACAAUUCAAAAGGAGAAAUAGUUCUUCAACCCAGUUGCAAGAGACGUCGAAAAUAAAGAAAUGGAGAUAUGUGUAUUAACUUGUUCAUAUUUGAACACAUAUACUUAUCUAUGAUAUAUUUUUUACAGUAGCACAUGGCUAAAGAUAUGUUACGCGAUAAUAUAUGUUAUGCCAAUUAUUGACUGAAGACAUGGCAGAAGAAGCAAAACGAAAAACAAUGGCAAAGAAUUUAGAGAGAGAAAGUGAAUGACUAAAGAUUGUAUUCCUUGAACAAUGAAGGAAUUCCAGAGAGAGGCGUUCGUUAUUUAUACAAGUAUUCUUUGCUUCACUCAUAAGCUACUUACCAACUUUCUUAUCCCUACAAAUCCCAACAGACUAACAGCCUUCCUACAAUCUCAACAAACUAACUGCCUCGCUGAUGUGUGCCUUGCUGAUGUGUAACCUUCAUGCUGAUGUGUCUGUAGAGCCAUACUGAUGUGUACAUAUCAGUCAACAGACCCAUGGCCUGAAGCAAUAACUUUAUGUUUCUUGAGUAUUCAUCUAAUAAAAGGCUAUUUGGGACAAGACUGGAUCUUUAAGAUAAUCUGAUGUGCUGCAACAACAUACAUGGAGACCUAGAAAACAAAAAGCAAAGAGCAUUGGUAAGUAAUAAUAAAACAUAAAAAGUACACAAAUUUAUCAACAAGCCAUGAAUGACCAAUCUUGUGAUAAUUCCAAAUCAUGUUUUUUUUUUUUUUUUCAAAUGGUAAUUCAUUCAACACGAUAGAACUCCCUGUAUACAAGGAGGAGAGAUAAGCAUAUGAGAACACCAAAUAAACUUCAAUAGACCAUCUUUUACAAUCACACACACUAGUAAAACUGCUUGCAAGUCACAAUCUUUCACAUAGUUUUUCCUAAACCCCAUGCAUGCUUCCCUCCUAGCAAAGCAGUUACAAACUUACAUGAUGUCUGACAUGGUUAAAGACAAGGGCAACUUUUACAAAAGAAACGCACCAAGUAAUCAACCACAGAGCAUUAUCGUGUCUAUCAAGUCUCACAUGUUUUGUACAUCCUAAAUAAUGAAAAAGCAUUAUCAUUCAAUUCCAUCUUUAGCAGCUUUGGCCUUAUGAAGAAUCGCAGCUGCUAAAGAUGCUAAGCAUGGAAAAUCAAAAGCGUCCAACAAUGAAUAUAAAGUGGGAUAAAGUAUGCAACAAGAAAAUAAAUCACUAGGCUGGGGGAGGAAAAGAAGUUGGACAAAGGACAUGAUUUUACAACAAAAAAGAUAUCCGAUAAUUUGGCAACUGAUUGCCAACAAACAGGUUCUUACAACGAAAAAUAAUGACACCACUGAUGCACAAGGACAACUUGCUUAGCAUACUAUGACCAUACCUUCCAAUAUACAACAGCAACUAACAAGAAAAAGAAGCACGAUGCAAAACAAGAAUCAAAUAGAAAACUAAGAAAAACGUUAGCCAAAACCUAUAUAUUUCAUCUCUCCCUUCCCCCUAAAAGAAAAUACUAACAAGGAAUAAGAAAAUCCCUGGCAGGCAACGUUACAUUGUCCCUUCAACCCCUUUUCCUACCAAAAUAUUUCCACCCAUAGAGACACCUCUUCGACUAUCUAUGUUAAUUGUUACAGUCUCAGGGAAAUGCUCUAAAACCCACAGUGAUGCAGCUCUCCAAUAUGGAUGAGUGACCGAGGGACAUUUCAAACCCAUUUUCCAAUCUAGCCUACGCAUUUUCUUACGAUUUCACCAUGCAAGAAAGGCUUCUCAGUGUGUGUUUAACUCCCAGUACAAAGGGUUAUUUAUGCCGAACCCAAUUUUUGUGAAAAAAAUUAUGGAAUUUGCCAAAACCCCUAAAAAUAUUUAGCUCAAACACUUCACAAACGAUGAUUCUGCACUAAUUUUACGACCCCAAAGCAUCUCUUCUUUCAUAAAACACAAUUUGGGUCAAAACCCAAAUGUAUCAAAACUCAAUUAUACACACUGACCAAUAAUCAGUAAAAUAACCAUUAAAAUGCAUCAAACUGAUUAACAUUUCAGCUGACCAAAUGCAGAAAGAACCAGCUUUUUCCAUCAUACAAAGCCAAGCUCACAACCGAACCCACUAAAUCGCACAGCUCGGAACCAGAUCCAAUUCUUUACAAACCAGAAUCGUAAUAAACCUUAAAAAUCAGACUUUGUUCUUUUUCCCAAGCACAAGUUAAACCAGAGAAACCAAGAAAACUAACUUAUUUUCUCAUAAUCAUCAUAUUUUCCCAAAAAAAUUGAAAUUUUCCAUGGAAAAAUCAAGAAAACGAACCUGGAGAUGCAGCGGCUACGGGAGAAGACCGAGAUUGAACCUGGAAUGAACAUGUUUUUUAAUUUUCUGAUUUUAUUGCUGCGGCAAACUAAUUAGAAGGGAAAUCCCAAAAUCAAGUCUUAUAUUUUGGAGGCAUGUUUUCACUAAAUCAGUGUUCGUGUGUCCCCAACAAAUUGAGUGAGUUUAUGGCUGUUGCAUAUAAGGCUAGAUUGGAACUCUAAUACAUUAGGAUAGUGGGUUCCAAAAAUUUAAGAGUAUGAACAGAAAGAAAAACGCAUCAGACCUCCUAGAAGCAAUUUUUUUUUUUUCAGUUGCAGAUCGAAGCAAUACAAAGAAAGAGAAACCGAGAGGCAGAUCGUACCUAGACUGGAGAUGCAGAGCUGAAGUUCACAGAGAAGGUUGCAAAGGGGAGAUGCAGAGGAUGAGGAGGAAGGUUGCGAAGGGGGGAGAUGCAGAGGAGAGGAAUGAGGAAGACAACGGCAAGGCAGAGAGAAGAGAUAUUGUUUUAGGGUUUGUAAUGAUUUAGAUGGUGUAAUUUUUGAAAAAGAUAUGGGGUAUAUUUGUCUUAAAAUGGUAAAAUAUUGUGUUCCACAGGCGUGGAACAACCUGUUCCAGGGGGUAGACGCGGGACACAAAAACACCCAAAUUCUGUCCCGUGGAACAGCACGUUCCACCCUAUUUUGGCGUACCAAAGGCGGGACGGAACGUCUUGUCCCGUUCCGUCCCGUCCCAUCCCGCUUACCAAACGCACCCUAAGUGACCCUGGUGUGAAUAUUUCCCAGAGCCGAACAAUACCCUUUUUGUGCACAGUUUUGUGCAAACUGUAACAGGACAGAAUGGUUAUGAUCAUUACUGGUAAAGAAUAAGCAAUAUGCAACACUCGAGAACAGUAUUUUAAUGUAAUCUGCCUAAGGCUCUGGGUUUAAAUUUCAUCAUCCAUGUCAACUGCAAUAUCGACCGUGAUAUGCAAUACUUCAGAUUAAAAUACUUGUAACGCAACUCCAUACUUGCCAACAUGGAAGCAAAAGGAGGAAAGGAAUGCAUAUUCUACUUUACCUUCUGAGUAAGCACUUGAAAGCUCUUUUUGAACUCUUUUGUGCUCAUCCUAAUUUUGUGAUCGCUCAAUUUCAAGUGUAGCCUCUCUUUUCUAGUGAGAGAUUCCACUACAACCUGAUAGGCAUAUUCAAGCAUUUAAUAAUCUACAGAAAUUAACUCAGCAAUAUUAAAUAUCAAACCCACUUACUUACCAUCUAUCUUAUCCAACUCUUAUUUCGGUUUCUCUGUCAAAGCUUCGCAAUAAUCUAAUUCAAUUACUCUUCCUUGCUUUUUAAUAAGAUCCCUACAAUCAAACAAACAUAAUUAUUCUAGUAAACACAUUCGAAUUCAAACACAUAAAAGAUGUUAUUCAUACCCAUAUCGUCAUAUUGCUGCUCUGAUCUUGAAAAAUUAAAAUUAAUAAUAAUCGUUCAAAUCAUAUUACAAUAUAUCACAAACUAUGACAUCUGAUAAUCAAUACAUUUAAGAAAAUUUAAAAUGAAUUCAAUUCACUCCAAACGGUGAUAUUAUAUGUUCACAUAUAUAUUCACAACAACAACAAAAUCACUUUCUAGCCACUGGGAUAAAAAUAAGAACAGAAAACAUUAAUUCGAGUGCACAUAUGAACAUCACAUAAAAAUCAUAACAAAAUCCAAAACAGAAGGAGAGAUAACAAAAAUGAUAAUUUUUUGGGACUUACAAUUACAAUUAACCGAGUGUUGACUAGCCAGCCUGUCCAGGUUCGGUUAUACUUAACUCCAUGUCAUGAGUAGCUGUCCAACCAGGUUCAUAGGUUCAUAGCCUUGUUGGGGAGAUCAUGGGAAUGAACAAAUGGCACCCCGUUUGGCCACCCAAUCUCCAUUCUUAUAUUGGCACGGGGGCUAUCAAGUGUCUGAAUGUGAUUUUCACACUCCUUCACGUUGCAGAACCUCAGCUUGAUUCCCUUCUUGUCUGCAAUGUCUUGAACCCUUUCCUUCAGGACUCUCUGGGCCUCGACCCAUAAUCUCUUGGAAGGUGGCAGAGGUUUGUUUCUUUCACUCUUUCUCCUCCUCAACAAAGGCUUCAUAGAUCCUGUACCAGCAUUUCAUCGAUCCAAGGACCUGCUGUUAAAAGCUUCUCACAUAAGAGAUACACAUAAACACGUGCAAUCCAAUAUCAAGAGGACUCAAGAGACGGAUAUAAUUUUUAGAAGAUAAAACUAGAUUGAAGAUCCUUGUUAUGACAGCAGAAAUGCAAAAACUAUUAAGUAGUUGAUGAUUACUAUCAAUAGAGUUGGACUUAAUUUAGCUUAUACAUUGAACUUAUUUUUAGUGUGUGCAUGUGCUUCAUUCAGUCAGUAAGACCAAUCCUAAUUAAAGUAAGCUGUCAUUAAAAAAAUUGCAUUCAUGAAAUCAAUUUACAGUAUGUAACAAGCAGGCAAUUGGUAAAGAAGAUUAAAUGCAGCAUACCAUCUUGUGCUGCAUGGAAAUUGGAACUUUGGAAACUGUGUCUGUUAAAGAGUUGAUCGGUGGGGUGAGAUCUCUGCAUAAAGUCAUCAACCGCUACUGGAAGCUGGAACUGAGCUUCAACCCCAUGACCAGCAGCUCUCAUCUCUGAACAACUAAGACUGGUCAUGGAUUUAGGCAUGAAUUUAAAAGCCAAAGAACAUCGCCUAAACAAGUUGCUCUGUGUAUUAGCAGUCUCCGUUCUCUGUAGUGCAGGGUUAACAUAUCCUGCAGUUGCCUGAUAGAGUGCGAGUCCAGGGUAAACAAUAGCUUCUUGAGGACCAAGAUCGUCUUCCACAAGAACCCAACGACCCUGAAAGUCCUUUAUGUGUAGACCAGCCUUGUCUGACUUGACAAGAGAUAUCAAGCUUUUGUCAACUUGAUGCUCAUGGUCAGAAAACAUAACCAACUGGCCAUCCUCUUGGGUCGUAAAACUAUGGUGUUAUGUAACCUGAAAUGAUGGCCUUGCAUGACAACAGACAGAUAAUACUGAAGAAGAUAUUUACCUGUUUCUUAAGGGAACAUUAUCAAGUACUUCAGUAAAUGGUGAACUCCUCAAGUUCAAAUAGAAGCUGAUAGUGUCCAAUAUAUCUCGAGCUGCCUUUGCAAGCAGUGAAAAUAUAUCUGGUAAAGCUGCUGGAGCAAAUUCCAUUGUGUUGUCGGGCUCUAAAGGAGUGAGUCCAGGUCUGUAAUCAUAGGUUUCUAGCCACAAUUGAGGAUCUGCAUUAUAACCGGAAGUCUUGCACCAGUCACGAGGGUCAUUGUUAUUAACCAUAUCUGCAGCUGGGUAUGAUGCUUUCUGGUGGAAGUAGAGGCGAGCCGAAUCUAAACCCGACCUCAAAAGUGCCCCAUCACUCACUGGAAACUGAAUGAUGGCAGCAGAAUAGAGUGCUAGUGAUUGUGACAAAGUUGAAACAGAUAGUCUGUAAGAAUCUGAUGGAAGGCCUUCAGCAGGUGCCAGAUCAGUUAGCUUCACACGACCUAGAGAUGGCAGGCCAUUACUUGCCAUGACACCCUUUGGGUAUACUUGCUACCUGAUUUUGAAGAGAGGCACAGGUUACCACUGACAUAACUCAAAAUUAAUAAACUGAAAACAGCAUAAUCAUUCAUCAAUCAGAAUCUCCUCUCUUUUUUAAUGAGAAUUUAGGAACUCCUUGACCCCUAAGUUGAAGCCACAAAAACUGAACCAUCUACGUACUGUAAAGAAAGAAAGUAUAUGAAGCAUAAAUAUAUACGUACAAAUACAUGUGUGUACAUAUAUGAACGUUUUAUAUUGAAAAAGUGCUCUCCUAAGGUCCUUAAAAAUGUCAAGCUGCUCAACUAUUGAUCGUAUAUGUAUGCUAGAAAUGCAAGAUCUAUGAUACGUUGCAUGCCGAGGGGACAUUUGACCUAUGUAUGGAUAAAGUUAGAAACCAAGUUUUCCAAAUUACUAGUAUGAGCAACCAAGACAAAAACUUUUCUUAUUAAACUUGGAUCUAAUAAUCUCGUUAGUCAGGAAAUUGAAGUGAUGUCCAAAAUCUGCCACAAUGUCAUCUAAACUCAACACAAACUAGCAGUGUGGCUAAGUCAAACGAUUGUCUGAUACGAAAAAAGUAAAAUUGCUUAACAGUUCUGCAAGAUGAAGACUAAAUGCUACAGCAUCGACCGGAAACACUCUUCCAGACACUAAACCAUAUUCCUUCCAAGUAUAUUGUCCAAACGGGGUAGUCUUUGCUCAUACAGAAGAUUGAAAAUCUUUAAACACACUCGAUGCAGCGAGGAACGAUUACUGUCUCCAUUAAGAUUUAUGCAACUGUUAAAAUGUUGGGUUUGUUUAAAAAAUUGUACUACUUUUCUCCCCAAUUUUCAAAUAAACAAAUCAUAAGUGGCAAGAGCCCAUAAGACCAAUUGGCAACAAUUUGCAAUCCAGAUUUUAGCUUCAUUUAUUGUUACCCAUCAACUAACUCAAUUCAAAAAGUGGAAAAAAAAACUGGAACAAUUUGUUUCCUUUACUUCCAUCUAGUAAAUAUAGAAAUGGUUCAAGAACACGGGAAAUUCCCAAUUCUCAAAACAAACAGAGAGAGAGAAAGAACUGACCUUUAUUGGUAGAAAAUGUUAAAUUCAGGGGAAGAUUAGGGCUUUACAAAAGGACGAGAGGAGAGGAACACACAACACAGUGCUUUUUUUUUAUUUACGGUUACAUCUUAAUGGUGGAUUUGACUUGCGGCAACGAAAACUUGGUGAUGAGAUGAAAAUUUUGGAUUUGGAAGUGACGGAACACAGAGGUUGUCGAAAGCCAUAUCACAUACUUAGACAUGUCUUUCCGCGUCUUAUGCUAGAGAAAUUUAUGUAAGAAGUAACUAUUGUUAUUCACACGUCUAUUUUUAUUUCAAAUAUUUUUAUUAAUGUUUAGCCUUGAUUUUUUUCAAUUUACUCAAUUCGAGGAGCAAAUAUUGAAAGGAUGUGUCAUAAGUAAAAAUUUGUGUGUAGAUAACAUUACUUUCUAUUUUAUAUACAAUUGUUAUUUGGGGUUUUUAAUCUGUUUUGGGGAAUUCAACAAAACCGUCAUAAAACUUAUUUUCAUAGAACUUUCGUUGUUUUGUAAAAUUUUUCAGAAUUCAUUUAAAACGUUUCGAAAAUGUUCCAAUUGAUGAAAAUUUGUUCUAGCCGCAUACUGAAAUCUAUUGGAAUUUUUUCACGUUAAAUUUUUUUUUUUUUGGCCUUAAAAAUGAACAAUGCUUGGCCACUCAAGAAUAAAAAUAUCUCAGAAACAAUUCAUAAUACUUUUAUCAAUUUCUAUCAUAUGUUUUUAUAUAGCUCAAUGACUAAACAACAUCAUAUUUUAUUUUUAUUUUUUUGUUGAAAAUCUUUACGAAUCGAUUUAUAAUAUGACAGUUCCGAUCACAUUCACAAACUUUUAUGAAUCGGCCUGAAGAGUGCAUCUAUGUGACAAUGACUUAUAUAACAUUGUCUUCCAAUUGAAGAAGUUAUAGGAAAAUCAAGAGACAAAAUAAAGAUAGAAGUGCGUACAAAAAUCAUUUCCAAUAUUUUAUCGAGCCUCGACUAGUGAAAUAGUGACUUCAUUAACUGAGCAUGCUUUAGAAGAAUGACCAACUUCGAGUUCAGUCAGAUCCCUUUCACUGUAAAAACCAGGUUUUAGAGGUGGGGGCAACACACCUCCACCACCCAACAUUAGAACUACAGCUGACAUGCUAGGCCUGUCUUCUGGAUUCCGUUGUACGCACAAAAGGCCCACAUGAAUCGUUCUUACAACUUCAUGCAGAGUGACGGAGUCCUCUACCGAUGCAUCAAGCAAUUUGAGAGGCAUGCCUUCUGUGUAUAACAUCCAAGCCUAAAACACGCAAACUAGGCUACUUAACAAAAGUAACAAAGUAGAGCAAUAAGAAUUUUUAACUUGACAUUUGAUGCUGUCACACUCACAUGUCCAAGAAGGUUGAGUUUGUGGUCUGGAUGAGAGAAUCCUCUAUUUCUGCUCCCACUCACUAUCUCUAGCACCAGAACACCAAAGCUAUAGACGUCGGAUUUUAUAGAGUAGAAACCAUCAAUUGCAUAUUCUGGAGACAUGUAACCGCUGUAGACCAAUGUGUCAAAAAACGUUUUUAUACGCAAAGAAUCUAGACUUUCUAGUUUCUAUUAGUGUUUUUGAAAAUUCGUAAAAAAGGACUCGUACAAUUGUGUUUUAGGAUACUUACUAUGUUCCGACCACUUUCUUCGUUUUUGCUUUCGUUUCAUUUCCUCCAAAGCUUCUAGCUAGGCCAAAGUCUGAGAUUUUCGGGUUAAAUUCACUGCCUAAUAAAAUGUUACUUGCUUUGAGAUCUCUAUGAAUAACUCUCAAUGUAGAAUCUUGAUGAAGAUAGAGGAGCCCUCGAGCUAUCCCAUUAAUAAUUUCAAAGCGCUUCGACCAGUCUAAUAACAUCCUUCUUCUUUGAUCUGCAAAAUAUCAUAAUUCACAAUUGUCAAAAAAUACAUCGUGCUAGGCUGCUUGCAUAAGCGGACUAAUCGAACUAAAUGCAAGGUUUUUGAGUGGUCAAACCAAAAAUAAAGAAGUCUAAGCUCUUGUUAGGCAUGAACUCGUAGAUCAAUAUCAUCUCGUCUUCUUGAAUGCAGCAUCCAAGAAGCUUCACUAGAUUCCUGUGCUGAAGUUUGGCAAUAUGUGUAACUUCAUUCUUGAACUCGUCGAGUCCUUGUCUAGAACUUUUUGAAAGCCUUUUCACUGCGAUUUCUUGUCCAUCUUCCAUCGUACCCUAAAAUCCAUCAACGUAUGUUAUGACCAAAAUUCAUACUUUGUAGUUUGCACACUACUUGUAUCCAUCAUUCCAUAUUAUGACCAGAAGUACAUGUAUCUAUACAACUUCGAAACUAUGAAGGACUAUCUGGUUUGACCUUAAAGACAGAUCCGAAACCGCCUUCACCAAGUUUGUUUUCAAUUGAAAAGUUACUGGUUGCAGAAACUAUAGUCAUCAAGUCAAAUAACGGUAAUUCCAGAUCCUCCUUUUGGUUGCGACCUAGUUUUCCUGCAAAGACGCAGUGACAGGUGAAAAAAAAUUCCCUAUACAACCGAACUAUGUAGUUUGGAAAGUAGAGAGGCAGAAUAGUGCUACCAACUUACCACCUUUUUGGUGCUGCUUCUUCCAAACAUAAAACAGCAAGGCAAGGCCCAGGAUCAGCAGUCCGAUAGACAACACAGUAGUGCUUAUUAUGAUCCUCAUUUUCUUUGCAUUGGAUUCAGAGUAUUUAGCGUUGAUCUUUGUAUCGUCUUCAUAAUCUACAAAUGAUAUUUUUGAAGACAAAAAAUCUAUGAGGUGGAGAGUAAUAAAUAAAUAAAUAAAUAAUGUAUAAUGUCUAUCAUCCGACUAAUAGUUUCUAGUUUGUGAGACAAUUGUAAAAGAAGAUAUUGCUAAUUGUGUCAAAAUUCACAGUUAAAACUGUCCGAAUUAGUACAAUGUUUCACUUCGUUAUGUCUUGACUUUGUUUCGAGCAUAUGAUUAUGACUAAAUGCAUAGUCACCAACAAGUGCUUUUUACAUACCUUGUUCUGCUGCGGCCAUUCUUAUAUAAAUAUCUUGCCCGUUUUCAGCAAUGUAUCUUAUAUCAAUUAGAUCACCGUACCAAAGCAAGCACCCAGUUCCUCCAUCCCGGAUAUCCAAAUUUGUAUAAGCCGUGCAGGAGCAGUUCUUCAUGCACACCAUCUCACAUUCCUUGAGGUUCGUACUUCUGUUAAACCAGGAUUGUUCUGUGCUAGGCAAUUUCAACCCCGAGUACUUUUGGAACACGUCUCCGGUGCAAUUUAGAGAAGUCUUUCUCACACAACCAUUAGACCAAUCUACCAAAUCCCAUUCUUUCGGAAACUUCGGUGUAAAUCCUUUCAAACAGCUACAAACCGGGGACUUUUCGAUGUUACAUGCACCAUGUACACCACAUAAUGCAUAGUUAUCACAGUUAUCAAUUUGGACUGUUUGGUAAAGAACCCAACCUUUGGUUCUAUCAAUCCAUGUGUAGCGCUGCAAAAGUCCAUGUGAAGUUAACAUCAACCUCGAAAAGAUUGAGCUGUUGUGAAGCUUGUAACUGUAGUACAUUUCAUCAGGCUCAGAAACAAAACUGUACGUGUAUAUAGGGUUUGGAUUUAACUGAGGGUUUCCACAGAACCAGACUCCAUUCCAUGGUCCAGACCGAAAUUUAAUGACCGAACCUUCCCUCAGAAAUAAUUCUGCAUAUCCUUUGGGACCAAGUUGAUUUGUACAAUUGCCUUGAGAAGGAUCCUGAGGACUUUUCCACGAUCUAAGAUGCCAAUUGAAGCCUGUUACUGUGUUCCUACCAAGCUUCAUACCUGGUAAGAAUGUAUCGCCAGGGUAAUCAAAACUUUGCCACAGAAAGUUCUCAGAGUCAUCAUCACUCCUAUCUAUCACGACAAGAUUACCCGAAUCCAAAAGACGUGCCACUGGAUUCUGUGCAGUUUUCGAUGUGUUCGAGGACCAAACUGUGCUCAUGUUGUGGUUGAGGACAAGAAUUCCGGGGUUGGUGACCUUCAAAACGCCGGACAAAUCAGUGAGGGGCGUGUCUCUGUUGGCAACCCAUACAAUGGUUGUAACAGAUAUCUUCUUGUACCAUAUCCCCACGUACCGUCUAUUAGAAGCAUCGGGACUGUAAAAUCCUAGCUCAAACGUUCCACCAGUUGAAACUACAGUCUCACCGUCUCUAAUGGACUGAAAUGUACUUGUGGCGUCAUCAGCUAUGGAGAAUACUGCUGCGAAGAUGAGCAGCAAAGAAGAGUAGAAGAGAAGCAAGCACAUCUUAGUUGAAGCCUUCAAUGGUUUUUUCAUUUAAUUCAUGGGAAGACAAAUUGUCCCUCUACACCCUUCUUACAUGUAUGAUUUCGAAUUUUUCUGUCAUUUUCGACUGCAAUAUUGUGAUUUCGCAUUUUUCAUUAAAUUCAAGGGAAGACAAAUUGUUUUCCAGUGUGAAACUGAGGAAAUGGUUUUCAAUCGGAAGUAGACAUCGGACUCGGUCCAAGAAUGAUAUUGGGGCCUGGCUUCUCUGCUCUCUCCGUUCCCAUUCACUCACAUCCCCUCUGCUUUUUUUAUUAAUGUCAACAUUUUAUAUUAUUAUUUUUUUUUGUCUUAUUAUCUUUAUAAAAAAUUCAAUAUAAAAUGUUGACAUGAUUUAACCGUGACCACACAAAAUAAAAAAAGAUGGAAGUGCAUGAGAACUGGAAGUGCAAAGAAGUCGGGUCAAUUAUAUUGUCUUAGCCUCACAAUUUCCUAUGACAAUUAAGUUUUUUCAUACAGUAGUAAAAUAUCUAAAUUAAUUUGUGGUCAUCCAAUUCCCUCAGCUCAAAGGAAGCUUACGNNNNNNNNNNNNNNNNNNNNNNNNNNNNNNNNNNNNNNNNNNNNNNNNNNNNNNNNNNNNNNNNNNNNNNNNNNNNNNNNNNNNNNNNNNNNNNNNNNNNNNNNNNNNNNNNNNNNNNNNNNNNNNNNNNNNNNNNNNNNNNNNNNNNNNNNNNNNNNNNNNNNNNNNNNNNNNNNNNNNNNNNNNNNNNNNNNNNNNNNNNNNNNNNNNNNNNNNNNNNNNNNNNNNNNNNNNNNNNNNNNNNNNNNNNNNNNNNNNNNNNNNNNNNNNNNNNNNNNNNNNNNNNNNNNNNNNNNNNNNNNNNNNNNNNNNNNNNNNNNNNNNNNNNNNNNNNNNNNNNNNNNNNNNNNNNNNNNNNNNNNNNNNNNNNNNNNNNNNNNNNNNNNNNNNNNNNNNNNNNNNNNNNNNNNNNNNNNNNNNNNNNNNNNNNNNNNNNNNNNNNNNNNNNNNNNNNNNNNNNNNNNNNNNNNNNNNNNNNNNNNNNNNNNNNNNNNNNNNNNNNNNNNNNNNNNNNNNNNNNNNNNNNNNNNNNNNNNNNNNNNNNNNNNNNNNNNNNNNNNNNNNNNNNNNNNNNNNNNNNNNNNNNNNNNNNNNNNNNNNNNNNNNNNNNNNNNNNNNNNNNNNNNNNNNNNNNNNNNNNNNNNNNNNNNNNNNNNNNNNNNNNNNNNNNNNNNNNNNNNNNNNNNNNNNNNNNNNNNNNNNNNNNNNNNNNNNNNNNNNNNNNNNNNNNNNNNNNNNNNNNNNNNNNNNNNNNNNNNNNNNNNNNNNNNNNNNNNNNNNNNNNNNNNNNNNNNNNNNNNNNNNNNNNNNNNNNNNNNNNNNNNNNNNNNNNNNNNNNNNNNNNNNNNNNNNNNNNNNNNNNNNNNNNNNNNNNNNNNNNNNNNNNNNNNNNNNNNNNNNNNNNNNNNNNNNNNNNNNNNNNNNNNNNNNNNNNNNNNNNNNNNNNNNNNNNNNNNNNNNNNNNNNNNNNNNNNNNNNNNNNNNNNNNNNNNNNNNNNNNNNNNNNNNNNNNNNNNNNNNNNNNNNNNNNNNNNNNNNNNNNNNNNNNNNNNNNNNNNNNNNNNNNNNNNNNNNNNNNNNNNNNNNNNNNNNNNNNNNNNNNNNNNNNNNNNNNNNNNNNNNNNNNNNNNNNNNNNNNNNNNNNNNNNNNNNNNNNNNNNNNNNNNNNNNNNNNNNNNNNNNNNNNNNNNNNNNNNNNNNNNNNNNNNNNNNNNNNNNNNNNNNNNNNNNNNNNNNNNNNNNNNNNNNNNNNNNNNNNNNNNNNNNNNNNNNNNNNNNNNNNNNNNNNNNNNNNNNNNNNNNNNNNNNNNNNNNNNNNNNNNNNNNNNNNNNNNNNNNNNNNNNNNNNNNNNNNNNNNNNNNNNNNNNNNNNNNNNNNNNNNNNNNNNNNNNNNNNNNNNNNNNNNNNNNNNNNNNNNNNNNNNNNNNNNNNNNNNNNNNNNNNNNNNNNNNNNNNNNNNNNNNNNNNNNNNNNNNNNNNNNNNNNNNNNNNNNNNNNNNNNNNNNNNNNNNNNNNNNNNNNNNNNNNNNNNNNNNNNNNNNNNNNNNNNNNNNNNNNNNNNNNNNNNNNNNNNNNNNNNNNNNNNNNNNNNNNNNNNNNNNNNNNNNNNNNNNNNNNNNNNNNNNNNNNNNNNNNNNNNNNNNNNNNNNNNNNNNNNNNNNNNNNNNNNNNNNNNNNNNNNNNNNNNNNNNNNNNNNNNNNNNNNNNNNNNNNNNNNNNNNNNNNNNNNNNNNNNNNNNNNNNNNNNNNNNNNNNNNNNNNNNNNNNNNNNNNNNNNNNNNNNNNNNNNNNNNNNNNNNNNNNNNNNNNNNNNNNNNNNNNNNNNNNNNNNNNNNNNNNNNNNNNNNNNNNNNNUCUUCCAAUCCGAAUGGCGAACAAAACUUGUCCCGACAAGUCAUAGAAUUGACGAGCGCCCUUGCACAACAAACCACCUUGGUGAAUCAACUUUUACAACGUACUGAGAUGCAUCGCGCUCACGAUGAAGUUUCCCGGAGUAGUAGAACAAGGGUAGACAAGGAGCCUUUUAAACAGCGUCCUGGAAAGCAGCCAUUCAACCCAUCACAAGUGGAGCAUUCAGACAGUGCACACUCUCGAUUGGGCCCCCGAAAUAGCGUAUACUCCCGUCUUAGCGCGCGGAUGAGCGUGCACUCUCGGUUAGGCCCACGAGCAAGUAUACAUUCACGGUUGGGGCCACGCUUUGAUAAUCAACAUGGGCAACCUUCCAGGCAAAACAUUCAUUCGCGAUUAGGCUCACAAGGAGUAUCCUCCACAUCACAUCGGAGCAGGCAGCCUGACAAACGGAAGGAAACGAUCGUUCAAUCUGGCUCUAGUUCAACCGGUAGCCUGCAAAGAAAUCCCUCGCCUGCUAAGAAUCUAUCUCAUCCAUUGCAGCCACAGCGUAGACGAGCCGAGCGAGAAGAAGAGCAGCCUAGACCGGUAGAAAAAGACCAAGGGCAGCAAAAAGCUCCGCUACCCCAACAAAAGCAAAUCCAAGAAGAGGUAGAAAGGCUUUUUCAAUGAGCGGAUGCGUGAUUUUCGGCGCAACGAAAUGGUUGAUGAGGCACUAAGGCGAGAUAUGACCAACAUGAGCAGGUCACCUUUCGCGGAUGAGAUCGAGCAGGCAGAGCCUCCGCGCAAGUUUAGCAUGCCACACUUCACAUCUUUCAAAGGAGAUGGGGAUCCCGAAAGACACUUGAAGCAUUACCGAAAUGCGAUGGUCCUUUAUCGGAAUAAUGACGCCCUUAUGUGCAAAAUAUUCGCCACUACUUUACAAGGCGAGGCACAAGAUUGGUUUCAUACCUUGCCGGCACGAAUCCAUCCUGAAUUUUGAUGAUCUUUCCUUGGUCUUCACCAAAGAAUACUCAUCUUAUCGAUCGAUCAAGAAGAAGUCCGAUCACCUGUUCAACGUAAAGAAAAACCCAAAAGAGUCGCUUCGCGAUUACGUGAAGAGAUUCAAAGCAGAGAAGGCGAAGAUCGUCGGAUGCGACAACUCGAUAGCAAGUGCAGCCUUCCAAAAAGGACUACCAGCAGACCACCCACUGUUUGGAGAAAUGAUCAUGAAAGAAGACCUAACUCUAGCAGAUUCCUUUGCUCUGGCAGAAAAGCAUGCGCUUUGGGACGAGGCUCGACAAGCAGAAAAGGCUCCCGAACAACCUCGAAAAGAGUUGGCAGCUACUCAAAUGAAGGAUGAAAAACAACCCAACAAGGGCAGGCAGGAGUUCAAGCGCAGGGACCGACCCACGACCAAAGAAGGCCCGAUGACCAACAACUAUUCUAAGUUCUCAAUUCCGAUUCAUCAAAUCCUUCGUGACGUCAAGAAUGAACCAUGGUUCAAGUUGCCGAAGCAGUCAAAAGGAGAUACUUCCAAGUUGGACCACACUAAGUAUUGUGCAUUCCACCGAGGUCCCGGUCACACAACCAACGAUUGCUACACUUGGAAGAACUACCUAGAGAAACUCGUGAAAGAAGGCAAAGUCGAUAGAUAUUUGGACAAGCCAGCUGAGCAGCAAAAAAGGAAUGCAGACGGAGAUGAGGAGCCACCAACUAAGACGAUUCGAAUCAACGGCAUUUUCUCUGAGUCCGAGCACUUAGGGGCUACUAAUAACUCCAAAAAGAGGAAGAUCCAGCAGGCCUUACUAAUCUCACAAGUUCAUGCAGUCGAUACCCAACCUGGACCUAUCAUUGGCUUCACGGAGCAGGAUGCAGAAGGAGUCGACUUCCCACACGACGAUGCAUUAGUAGUAUCUGUCCAACUAGCCCAUGCUAUAGUCGACAGGAUGAUGGUUGACAAUGGAAGUGCGGUCAACCUACUUCAACUUUCAGUCAUUCAGAAGAUGGGCCUGGAAAGUACAAUCAUACGCCGGGCAGAGGUACUUACUGGAUUCAACGGACACACCUCAACUGCCAUCGGUCAUAUCAUACUUGACGUAAAAACACCGCCAGUCGUCUCAAAGCAAACAUUCACGAUUGUAAGCGACCCAUCUCCCUACAAUGGGAUUCUUGGGAGACCUUGGUUGAUCAAGCUGGAUGCUGUCACUUCCGUCAAGUAUCAAAAAAAUCCGAUUCCGCAUCCCGGAAGGAGGAGUCGGAGAGAUCAAGUCUGACCAGGCUUCAUCCCGACGAUGCACUGUGCAAAUGUUAAAAGAAACAAAGAAAAAGACCUUUACCCCCGUAGAGGUUACCGAAGUCCAAAAGGGCAAAGAAAUUGCCAAAUAGCAAUUACAGCAGGUGGAUCGAGAAGAUGGCACCCAAGCAGACAGGAUAGGAUGGAAACCCGAAGAGGACGCCGAAGACAUCAUUCUUGAUCCCCAGCAGCCGGAAAAGACGGCUAAAAUUGGCUCACGACUAAGCCCAGACGAGAAGGAAGAACUCACAAUUUUCCUUAGGAAAAACCGAGAUAUCUUCGCAUGGUCACCAUCCGACAUGCCCGGUAUUGAUCCCAAAGUGGCCUGCCACAAGCUGCACGUCGAUCCAACUGCCAAACCGGUAAUUCAAAAAAGAAGACAUUUCGCUCCCGAACGAGUAGCGAUCAUCGAGGCAGAAAUCGACAAACUAUUGGAGGCCGGUUUCAUAGAAGAGGUAGCACACUCGGCAUGGCUUGCUAAUGUCGUACUAGUCAUGAAGAAAGAGAAGGGCAAAUGGAGGGUUUGCGUAGACUACACUGACCUCAACAAAGCAUGCCCAAAAGACCAUUAUCCUGUCCCCCGGAUUGAUCUAUUAGUAGAUUCAACUUCUGGAAACCAGUUACUUAGUUUCUUAGACGCAUACUCCGGCUACAACCAAAUAGCCAUGCAUGAGCCCGACAAGGAGAAAACUGCGUUCGUGAUAGAGCGAGGCACUUACUGCUACAAGGUCAUGCCUUUUGGCCUCAAGAACGCGGGAGCCACUUACCAAAGGUUAGUAAAUAUGAUGUUCAAAAAGCAAAUUGGGGUAACCAUGGAGGUCUAUGUCGACGAUAUCAUGGUAAAGGGCAAGCAGCGAUCAGAUCACAUUCGCAAUUUAGCAGAAGCUUUCAAUAUCCUUAGAAGGUACAAGAUGAAGCUCAACCCCACCAAGUGCACGUUUGGAGUAUCUUCAGGUCGAUUCCUAGGGUACUUAGUAACCCAACGAGGAAUUGAGGCACAUCCCAAGCAAAUCCAAGCAAUCAUAGAGAUGAAAUCUCUAACUACCUUGAAGGAGAUCCAAAGCUUGACCGGACGAGCAGCCGCCCUCAAUCGCUUCCUCUCACGAUCCACCGAUCGAUGCAAACCCUUUUUCAAAGCUAUCAAGAGGGCACAAAGAAACAAAUGGGAUGAAGAAUGCGAAAAAGCUUUCCAAGACUUGAAGAGUUAUCUCACAUCACCUCCCUUACUAUCCAAGCCGGAAGCAGCGGAGGAUUUAUAUAUUUAUUUGGCAGUUUCCGAGGUAGCAGUGAGCUCUGCUCUCAUACGAGAAGAGCUGGGGGCCCAACUGCCGGUAUUCUACACUUCUAAAGCUCUUCUCGAUGCAGAAACAAGAUAUCCGAAGAUCGAAAAAUUAAUUUUGGCGUUAGUUGUUGCGGCUCGGAAGCUCAGACCCUACUUUCAAACUCAUACAGUCAUUGUUAUGACUCAAUAUCCCUUACGAUCAAUAUUACAUGGUCCGGACGCUUCUCAACGAGUGAUGAAAUGGGCAUUGGAACUUGGCCAAUAUGGUUUAGUUUUCCAACCUCGCACAGCGAUAAAGGCCCAAGCCUUGGCGGAUUUCGUGGCAGAAUUCACACCUAGCCUAGGCAACGCAACAGUGCGGCCCAAACGACGCCCCAGAAGCAGCAGAGAGUACCUUAGCCACACUUACUCCAUCCAAUAAAGAUUUCUGGAACUUGCAUGUCGACGGUGCAUCCAACUAUAAAGGCUCGGGAGCAGGUGUAGUUCUUGUUACUCCAGAUGGCUCAAUGCUCGAGCAGGCGAUCACUCUAGGUUUCAAAGCAUCCAAUAACGAAGCAGAGUACGAGGCUCUACUAGCGGGCCUCCGAAUGGCAAAAGACUUGGCGGUGAAGAAAACUCGCAAUUCAUUCUGAUUCCCAACUAAUCACCAGCCAGGCUACUGGGGAAUACACUGCAAAACACCCAAGGAUGGCACAAUACCUAGAGAAAGUACGCCAGCAGCUUGAAGCAUUUCAGACUUACACUCUCACUCAAGUUCCGCGGGCAGACAAUGCACAUGCAGAUGCACUAGCUGGUUUAGGCUCCGCCCUUGACCACCAAUUCAAACGCUCUAUUCCGGUGGAAUAUCUAGACAAGCCAAGCAUAGAGAUGGAGUCGAUAGCCGAAGUGUCACAGGUUAGUGUAACUCCCACUUGGCAAAGUUCAAUUAUAGACUACUUGGUCAACGGCACAUUACCCACAGAAAGAUUGGAGUCAAGGAAGCUUCAAAUUAAGUCGGCACGCUACUAUAUGUGGAAUGGCAUUCUCGUUCGAAGAUCCUACACCGGACCACAUCUCCGCUGCCUGGCACCUCCCGAUGACUUGAAGGUUCUAAGCUCAAUCCACGAAGGCGUUUGUGGGAAUCACUCUGGAGGUCGAUCCUUAGCCCAAAAGGCUCUUAACGCAGGCUAUUACUGGCCUACCAUGCACCAAGAUGCUAAGGAGUUAGUACAAAAAUGCGACCGUUGCCAACGCUACAAACCAGUACCAGCACUACCCGCCAGUGAGCUACACCCGCAAACGAGUCCUUGGCCAUUCAUGCAGUGGGCAAUCGACCUGGUAGGGCCUAUGCCGCCUGCUACGGGGGGCAGAUGCAUGAUGAUCGUGGCAACCGACUAUUUCACCAAAUGGGUAGAAGCAGAACCCAUGACAACCACAACUCAGACGGAUAUAGAGCGCUUUAUAUGGAGGAACAUCAUUUGCCGAUUUGGCAUCCCUCAGUCCAUCGUCACUGACAACGGUCCUCAAUUUGUGGGAAAAGAUUUGGCAAAGUUCUUCCAAAAAUACGGCAUCAAACAACACAUGUCCACACCAAGAUAUCCUCAAGGCAAUGGGCAGGCUGAAGCAUCCAACAAGACGAUUCUCGACUGCCUCAAGAAAUCCCUCACCGACAAAAAGGGAAAAUGGCCAGAUGAGCUCCCAGGAUGUUUAUGGGCAUAUCGCACCACCAAAAGACGAGCAACCGGUGAAACUCCUUUCUCUUUGGCGUUUGGUUCGGAGGCAAUCAUACCUCCCAACAUCAUCGUGCCAAGCAUCAACACUCUAUUGCUAAACGUUGAGCGGAACAGUAAAGAAAUGGCCACAGAUUUAGAUCUGGCAGAAGAAAGGCGCGAACAAACCAUCACCCGCAUCGCAGCCUACCAGCAGCAGCUCAUUUCCAGCUACAACAAAAGGGCCAAGAUCCGGCAGUUCCAACCUGGAGACCUAGUCCUAAGAAAAGCUUUCAUCACUGCCCGCAGAGAAGGCUCGAAAAAAAUGGACCCCAUCUGGGAAGGUCCUUACAAGAUCAACAGAGUCGGCGGCAAAGGCAGUUAUACUCUUGCUACCAUGAAUGAUAAAGAGAUCGAGAAGCAAUGGAACGCCUACAAUUUGAGGAAAUACCAUGUGUGACUUCACACUAUAUCAAGACCCGAAGACUCGAGCAUCUCAACGGUCACCACCUCGUAAACCGAGGACUAUCCAAUCAUCAUGCAGUUUUUGCAACCAAGUUAUUCGCUCAUUUUAUUUUUCAAUAAAGAAUUCAAAAGUAAUUUGUAAUUUGGCUUUAAUAUAUGUCUACAACAACUUAUUUCUUUCUGCAUUUCAAAAGAAAAUUACACCCCCCAAGGGACCAACUGUGCUCUCCAAGGAGGGAGGAUAAACUCAACACUCCGAAUAUCCAGACGUGGAUGAGCUUGGCUGCCCUAGAAUGACUAGGUGCAUGAUGGCUUGCGCCGGGAUUCCUAGAAGUAGCCACAAUGGUCUGUUUCAAGGCUUAGCUAGUUGAAGGAUUAUGGGUCUAUCGGCUUAAUCCGCAGGGAACCGGGCCCUAGAUACGGAGGGGGCACAUUAUGCAGCACACCCAAUGGGCGGCUGCCCUGGAAACCUAAAGCUGCUACCGAGUGCACUAAGGUAGCCUACGGAUUUCCAGAAGACUGCCUACGGCUUGCCCUUCGGGCAGUAGAACCACGCUAGACUUAUGCAACCGCACAUUAUUGUGAAAGGUUAAACAAGUUAGCGUGCACACACGAAGAUUUUAUCCACUACCGACAUGCUACGUAGUUGAUAAGCUUCACCUCUGUCAAACGCAGAAUAACUUAUACCAAAUCCUAAAGUGUUGUGAUACUUGCUACACGGCCUACGGAAUUGGAAAAAAUCCAAGGUUGAAUAACCAAGUGGUUACGCGGAUUCGUCUGCUUCUGUAAGUAAGGCAUCCGGCUGCCAACCCUAUGGUUAAUAACUUUGCAGAAGUUUCUACAUCAACACCUACGGUUGCAUAGGCUAUGUGGGCCUGUCUACUUAUAGAAAAGUAGCACGCCUGCCACUGGCUUAUAAGGUCUAAAGGUUAAAAAAAAAAAUGGGAAAAGCAAAAGAAGCGAGUUUAUUAAAUUUUAUAGCAAAAUUGAUAAACAACAAGCAAAUACCAAAAGAGUUCAAGCAAAAGCAACAAAGGAAAGAAAAGGAAACCCUAAAAGCUACCUAGAAGACUACUCUUCGGUAGUUUGGACAUCUCCCAACUGCUCGGUUGUUACACCUUCAGCAGCCUUGGUGUUCUCAGCAGCGGCAUCCUCCGGACCUUUACCCUCGACUGUUCCAGCUUGGGUAUCAACUCCUCCAGCUAUUUCACCGAUAGAAGACUCAAAGGUAAAAUCGAGCAAGUCUUCUGGGGAAAUAGAGAAGGUCUCGAAGUCUUUACCGGAAAACUCAAAGUCAGACGGCCGCCCAUAGAGAUGAUCUACAUAGCCCAGCUUGUAGAAAUCAGAUUGGUUCUGAAUAAGCGAAGCCUCGAAACCAUUUUUCUCACUCUUCAACUGCUUAUUCUCCUCAAACAGGCAAGCACGAACUCGCUGCAACUCCUCAAUUUCUUUCUUAAGAUUGUCGUUGGUCUUCAAAACACCUUGAAGUUCCGACACUUGAGGCUCAAGCCUGUCAGCAACCUCUUUGAAGUGGAUCGCUUGGUUGUAAGUAGCAAUCAAUUCUUCAUCCUUUGCAUAAGCAGCGGAGCGAAGUUCAGAUAUGGAGCGUUCAAGAUCUCGAAUCUGAGGUAUGUAACGCUCGAUUUCCUUCUCUGCACUUUCAUUCUUUGUUUGGACCGCAUCAAACCUAGUCUUCAAAUCCAUGAUCUCCUGGUGAGCGGCCUCAAGCUGCUGAGAAGUGGGGUCAGAAGUAUGAGAUUCCUUCAAAGCAGCAAGCUCAGAUUCCAAUUUUUUGAUUUUUUCAACCGAGGAAUAAGCUUCGGCAGCCAUAGUUCUUGCCAUCUCUUUAGCAGCCUUGGUGUCCUCUUGGUCAAGGAACAUAGACUCGGCUGCCAGAAUUGUUGUUUUCUGCAUCAUGGCUAGCAGAGCAGUCUUCCUAUACUCGGGUGUAUGCUUUGCAAAAAGACUCGGACCAACAAUCUCUUUGACGCCAUCAACAAACUGGGCGCAUACAUCCAUGUCUUCAAGAAGAUCUGGUUUCAAAAGAGCACAAAUCUUAGCAGCCUCCUCAGAAACGGCCUUGGCGGAUUCUUCAAGCCUGCCUGAGCGAGCAGCUUCAUUCUUAUCAGCAGACGAGAUGGUUGCAGCAGCGGAAGAAGCAGUAUUCGGCGCCACUUUAGCAGACAGGGGCACCUUAUCACUCUUCAUAGUAGCAAGUCUCUUCAAGGGUAAGUCAGGUUUAGUCCCGGACGGACGUUUUGGCACAAACUUCGGUACCAAAGGCACGGAAGAACUUUUACGCUGAGCAAUUUUUUCAGCAAUCGAGCUAGCAGCCUUCGAAGCAAUAGGCGUUACUGGCACAAAUGUAGCAGUUCGUUCUUUCUCGCCCUUAGAGGAAGUCAGGUCAAUCACAAUCUUGGGAGCAGCCGGAGAAUCCCCACGAGCAGUCUUCAUUUUCUUCUCAGCAGGUAUCUCUUGAGCAGGCGGGGAAUGUUUCUUUUUCCCACCUUCAUUGGUAGUAGGCUCCACCACAGUGAUAGGACGAGCCAUCGCGUCUGCCUUGAUCCGUUUUAUUUCUUCUUCUGGGGGGUAGUCCACCUUUUUCCCUACGAAGAGGACUAAGCAGCCAACGCCACUCACGAUACUCGGAAGGAAUACCCAGAGCGACAUGCACUUUUUUCAUAUCUGGAGAAACCCUAGGAGUUGAGCCAAAUUCCGAAUCUACAAAAAAAAAGAAAAAAAAAAAAAACAGAAGACAAUCAGAAAAUUGAAGAAUGAUUUGGCACUAAAGCAAAGCAGCCGAAAAGACUAAGCAGUCUGCUUACCAGAUAUGAAGACCGUUGAUACACGCAGCUCGGGAGAAGAAUCAGAUUCCCAUUCUCCACUUAUCUCCAAAGUCUCUUUGGCCCAAUCAUGAUCUCCUUUACUCGAAUUAUCAAAAAGCUUAUGACGGAUUCGCAGUUGUCCAACUCCAUCAAUACGACCUAUGUCAAAGAAAUACCAAAAUUCGUUGGUGGUUAGUCCCAAGUCAAAGAAUUGGUUCAAAUUGUGGAACCCCACCAUCACUCGGACCGCAUUCGGGGAACAUUGGGCAGGCGCACAUUUCAUAGAGCAAAGCACUUCUUGGAAGAAACGCGGUAUAGGGAAAGUAAACCCUAACACAAAAUAGUAAGGAUGGAACUUGAUAGUUCUCCGAGUUCCACUGCAUGGUUCUCGGCUGCUACCAUCUUUAACUCGUCUCACACGCACUCCCGACGGAAUGGCAUGCCAAUACGUUUCAAGAAAAUCUCUAAACAAAUUGUCGGAGCUAAUCUUGAUGUGAGCAGCUUUGAAGUAGCCAAUCUUGCUCAAAGACCCGCCUUGACGGUACAGCGGGGGCACACCAUCAUCAUUCUUACGGCUCGAGGAAGACAUGCUUGAAAAUUCUACAAAAGUACAAGGAAGAUUUGUUAGAGAGUUGUUAAAAAAAAAAAAAAAAAAAAAGAAAAGAAACAGCUCUCGGCAGCAAAAAAAAAAAAAAAAAAAAAAAAAAAAAAAAAAAGAAUUAGGCUUAAAGCCGCAGGACCAGCAAACCUGCCAGGCCUCACGGCCUGGCUUGCUUCAACGCCCAGCAAGAAAGAAAAAAAUAUAUAUAUUUUCAUGGCAUUACCAUGCCAUGGUUCACCAGAUCAACCUAUAACAAGUCUCUGAUUCCCAUCAGGCCAAGAAUCAAGAUCCAAAGAUUCCAGAAAAUCAAGAAGACAAGAAAAAUAAUUUUUUCUUACUUGGAAGCAACGAAGAGCGAUCCUUUACACGGGCAAGACGUAGAAGAUUGCUAGAGGAGGGGAACAAAUAUCCUCUAAGCUCUCUUUUUCUCUUGUAAGGAUGAAUAAGUUUCACUCUAAAAGUUGAUUUAACAAUCCACUUAAGGUGGACUUAAAUAAGCUUUGGGGAAAUUUAUUUCCUUUUCCUAGAAGGAUUUAAUUUCCUAUUGAAAGAAAGAAUCAACAACAAAAUAGGAAACAGUUCAGAAUUUCCUAAAGCAAGAAAAUCUCUACACCUAUUGCCCUUUUCUGCAAACAGCUCAACAGGUGUGGGGGCAUUUGUGGAGCCAAAAAUAUUCACUAGGCGACACGUGGAUUUGUGAACGAAAGAGGACAAAAAUACCCUUGAGGUAUAUCGGGAUUCCUACGCGCAAGUAGUGGGUAAUCAUCCUCAACCAAUUCAAAAAAUGCUCCAGAAGAGGUAACUAAUUCCAAAUUAUCUUAUUUUAGGUAAUUAUUUCCAAAACUUAAUUUCCCUAAUAUAUUAUUUAGUUAAUUAAUUAUCUAAAUAAUAUAUUCUUCCCAUAUCUCCUAAAAUCAUCCCUUAAUUACCAAUUUGAAACAUCCACUCAAACCUAAAAAAUGGGAUAGGGCCGGCUACCCCAUUCAAAGUCUAUUCCAUCACCUUUUUUUUCUACCUUUUCCACCUUUCCUUCCCUUUUAAAUUAGCCAAUCAAUACCAUAAAUAAUAAAAUAUCUCCUUUCAUAUUUAAUUAGCCAAUUAAUUGGCUAAUUAAACCUAAAAUUAAACCUAAAAAUCCCAUAGUAACCGGCCACAUUCCCUCCCAUCUUUUCCCUACCUUUUUUUUUUUAUUUUCCUCCACUUUAUUACUCAAAUAAAGCUAAUCAUUUAAGACCCCAUUCAUUUCUAUUUUAUUAGCCAAUAAAGGGGCUAAUAAAAAACCACAAAUUGACUAAGAAAAGGGAAGGGUGUGGCCGGCCCUUCCUUGGUGAAAAAUGGGGAAGCCUAAUCCUAUAAAUAGGCUCCUAUUCUCACCAAAAAUUCAUUCCAAACCUCUUGCAAAAAUUCCAAAACACUCUAAACACUAUUUCUCUCUAAAUUUCUAACUUUGGCAUCGGAGGUUCUUCGGCCAAAGCCCCCCCCCAUUCAUCGUGGGCGCGUGAGGCUUUUGGCCUUAACCUAAGGUGCUAGUUGUUUUGUAGGUGCAAAAUCGUCCAAGAUCGAAGAGGAGAAAAUUUGCAUCCACAAUACAGAUUCUCUAAUUUGAUGGAUUAGUAAUAAGAGAUCCGGAGAUGAUCAAUUUCCUAUUUAAUUGAAAGGACUCUCCCUGCCAAGAAUAUUUUAAUGUGAAACGAACACAAUUCAGUAUAAUAAGUGUUAUAAUAUAAAAGGUUAGUGUGUCGAGAAAAUUUUUAAUGUGCAGCUAAGACGGUCCAGCACAUCAAGUAUUAUAAUAUAAGUGGUUAAAAUUAUUUUCAGCAUCCUACUUGUAUUAUGACGUUUAUUGUACCAAUAUUGUGUUUCCAACACAAUAAGAAAUAAUACCUCCAUGCCCGGGUUGUCUAUGUAUUCACGCCACGCCACUAGCAAUAACAUGGAUGUCUUGCAAAGAGCCCGUGCUUCAAAGCCAAAAAAUGUUGCAUGCCAAGUAACUUUUUCACUUGCUUGAGCAGGUGGUAUAUGCCUAAAGAGGGAAUUAGGUCUUGUUUCGUUUGCAGGAGGGUUUCUUACAUUUCUUCUAUUAUAGCGUUUUAGUUCAAUAAUUUGUUGUUAUGAACAACAAAAUUUGGACAUAACCAUGCAUUAUUGAAGAAGACGACACGUGACAAUGAACUUGUUCCAUAUAAGUCAUUCUCCCAAUUUAGACUUUUAUGAUUACUUUUGGAGAAAGCACGCGUGUUGUCCAUUGUGUGUGUAAUGCUUUGGAUUUUUGUGUAUGAAUUGAGAAAAUAUUGUUCAAUUUCAUGAUUUAAAUAUCUUGGAAUGUUGAAUUGUUUGUUUUAACUUCUAUAGUAAUAUUUGCGCAUUUUUUGGUGUCGAUUUUGUUGGGGAAAAUCGAUGAAAUGUGGAGAAAUGAUGAAGAAGUGUCGAGCCACAGAUUUCGGGGUUUUUAGAAUGGCCGUCAUGUUGAGAGAGAACAUGAGUAAAUUGGUAUUUAAUCUUUUUGUUCCAUUAUGCCUCUCGCCUAUCUAACGCGAAACGAACAACUGUCACUUUCAGCAUGCGCGUACCAAACGUAAAACAAUACCUCCAUUCCAUCCUGUCUCAUUCUAUCUCAUUUCAUCCUGUCUACGUACCAAACACUCCCUAUGACGUGGAUAGUACUCAUAGUGAAUUUCAAGUUUGGAAUUUUAUCUCAUAAGGCAUACAUGCUUGAAUAGUGAACUAUCUAUAUUGAUAUCGUAAUUUUAUUUCAAUGCGGUAGCAAGUAUAUCCAUAUACAUGAUUUAUAUCUAGCGACACAACCCCAACAUAGUCAUCCUUAAAUUUUGAUCAUUAACUUUGUCGGACUGGGUGGGUAAAAGACGAUAAUUUAUUGGAUUUGAGACCUCUGUCAUUAGGUAGGUAUGUGUACCGGAAUUCGGAUCUCUCUUGUAAAUUUGAGGAAUUUUUUAGUGUGUCGAAAUUCUAACCCGGUACAUCAAGUCUCAAGAUACAAAUGGUUGAAAGUCAUUAGUUAGGUAUGUAUAUAGGAAUUUAGAUAUCUCUCUAAGAUUUGAGAAAUUUUUAGUGUGCCAAAAUACAUUCUAGUACAUUAAGUGUCAAAAUACAAGUGGUUGAAUUUUUUUUUUUAUGUAUCCAACCAAUUAUUAUGACAUUUGAUAUAUCGAGUCGUAUUCUAGAUACAUUGAAAAAAUCUUUCUUAUGAUUUUAGAGAUAAGGUAAUAAAGUAUUGAUCAUGUGAGCAAGAGGAGUAAAGUAAUUGUGUUACCACAAAAGGAAUGGUAUUGCAUUUGGAAUAUAGAGAAGAUAAUAAUGUAGCUUUUAAAGAUGUGGCCAAAUGAUAAUUGAGAGGGAUGAUGAGGUUGAUGCCCCUAAUCCUUGUGAAAGCAUUGAAUAGGGGUGCCAAACAUGCAUGUGGGAUGAAGCUAGAUUGCUCCACAAAGUGUGAAACUUUGUCCAAAAAUGGUGUCCCACCAUAAAGAAUGGGAUUUUGUUGGUCUCUUUGUUUUGACAUAUGAAAUUGACUGGAUAUUUAUAAAAAUACUUUUGUGACGGUAUAUAUACUUAUAAGGAAAUUAUUUUAGUCUGAUUAUUACCCAAAAAGUCUUGUAUUUAACAUCCAUAAUUUUUGCAAUGGCGGCAAUUUCAUGAUAGGAUUUUUAGGUACAUGCGCAAAGAGUUUAAAAUCAUACAAAAUACUUGCAAGAGAACAAAGUUGUUGUAGUAUAAAUGGCUCAAGUAAGGUCGUUUUCCACAUGGAUUAUUUAAAACAAUUUAUGCAAAACCCAAAUCUUAGUUAAUUAUUUGAAAACAAAAAUUGGAAAAGGUUGAUUUUGAAUUUAAAAAUAAUAAAAACGAAAUUUAAUAAAAGUAUUUUAAGAAAAACAACUAAUAACCAAUUAAAAAGGAAACAAAGCAAAGAGAAAGGGUUUUGAGGAAUAAACUUGGAAAAGCACUAGGUUUCCGUCAUCCCCUUAAUAAUCCUAUGUAGAUUUACUAAUUACUUUUGAAUUAUCCAUGCAACUUUGAAGGUUAGGUUUUCCUAAAAUAUAUUAUACUUGUGACAUUCAAGUUAGAACGUAUAUCAAACAUGCAAUCCAUCUGUGGCAUUCAGAUCAAAUAUAAACAUGCAUGACUCAUUAUACUUUGUGAAAACCCUUUGAAAAAACCAUGCAACCCCUAAGACGUGGCAUUUGCCUUAGGUGAAAUUACAAUUAUCAAUCACAAUAUGCAAUACUCAAUUCCCCGGUGGCAUUCCGAUCGAAUUGCAUCCAAUUACUUAUCUAAACAUCUUAAUGUUCACGAAUCAUUAAGACACAAAGACAGUUUAAAUCACAAUGAUUAAUAAUUCAAAGCAUGCAUGAAUAAUAUCAUAAGCAAUUAAAUAAAAACUACAUAUUCAUGCUAAAGCUCAAGGCAUCGCCCUAGCAAAAGAAAAUUAGUUACGCAUAUUCAUAAUUAAAAUCAACAUAAUUGUAUUAAACUAGAAAAAAAAAAUGAAAACAUCUUAAAAGUAUAAGUCUUGAAAUCUCUAAAGCUUUGCCCAAAGUCUUCUCUCCAAUCUUGUGUAUGUUCCCCUAGUGCUAGCCAAAAUGUCUUAUUUAUACUACUCUAAAUAAAAUCAUCCUAGUAAAACGUCUUAGAAAAAGACUAGGAAACCAAAUAAAUUGAAAUAAAAUAGGAAAUAUAAUCCUAAAUGGGAAAUUUUAUUUAAACCAAUGUAACCUAUUUCUGUACCCAACUUACUCUUGGCACCCAUUUGAUUUUUAACUAAACUAUUAAUAUCUCUUUAAACCCAAUUUAAUACUUAAUAUAUCCCCAUAAACCCAAUUCAAUAUGUGGAUUUAUUUUUACACCCAUUUGAUUUUUAACCCAUUUGAUACACGAACACCCAUUUGAUACGAACACGCCAAGAGAUACACGAACAUUGCAAUUUCUGAGGGUGUAUGAAGGAGCAAAGACUGCUGUAAGAACUCAUGAAGGACAAACCGAAAGCUUUCCCAUAACUGUAGGAUUACAUCAAGGCUCAUCCUUAAGUCCUUACCUUUUUGCGUUGGUAAUGGAUGAGUUAACAGGACAUAUUCAAGAUGAUAUUCCUUGGUGUAUGCUUUUCGCAGACGAUAUAGUGUUGAUAGAUGAAACUCAAGAAGGGGUAAAUGCAAAGCUUAACCUUUGGAGAGAAGUGUUGGAAUCUAAAGGUCUUCGCCUAAGCCGAUUAAAGACAAAAUAUAUGGAGUGCAAGUUCAGUGCAAAUGGAGGCCAAAACGAGUUAGGGGUGAGGAUCGGAGAUCAAGAAAUACCAAAGAGCGACCGUUUUCGUUACCUAGGAUCUAUCUUGCAAAAGAACGGAGAAUUAGAUGGAGAUCUCAACCAUAGAAUACAAGCUGGAUGGAUGAAGUGGAAGAGUGCAUCCGGCGUGUUGUGUGACCGCGAUAUGCCACUGAAGCUCAAGGGAAAAUUUUAUAGGACGGCAAUAAGGCCGGCGAUGCUGUAUGGCACAGAAUGUUGGGCGGUGAAGCAUCAACACGUACACAAAAUGGGUGUAGCGGAGAUGAGGAUGCUUCGUUGGAUGUGUGGGCACACGAGAAAGGAUAAGAUUAGGAAUGAGGAUAUCCGGGGUAAAGUAGGAGUAGCCGAAAUUGAAGGAAAGAUGAGAGAAAAUCGGUUACGGUGGUUUGGACAUGUGCAAAGAAGGCCUACUGACGCUCCGAUUAGAAGAUGCGACUAUGGGACAGAGGUUCAGGGUCGAAGGGGUAGAGGAAGACCCAGGAAAACUUUGAGAGAGACCCUAAGAAAAGACUUAGAGUACUUGGAUCUAACGGAGGACAUGACACAGGACAGAACACAAUGGCGUUCUAAGAUUCAUAUAGCCGAUCCCACUCAGUGACUUGGAUUUUCCAAGUCUCCAACCGAGAAGUUGUCCUCGCUCGGGAAAUUAAGGGAACACUACCUCAACCUACAUGCUCUACUCACAAAGCUCCAACAUACAAGCUUCAACAAAAGAAAAUUCAAAGAACUUAGCGAAGAAGGCUUUGGUGAUUUAACACAAUACGUUGAAAUGAAGGGAAGCUUAUUUAUUGAUAUCCCCGAUAAAUUACAAAUAUGUACAUAUACUUGAGUCAAAAUAAACAAACAAGAGGGAGCCUUCACAAAGGUUGCUUAGGAGAAGUCUCGGCAGUCGGUAGAGCCCCAGAAAGAGAAGGCACCGGAGGGGGAUCAUUCGGAGCCUCAGUACUGGACAGAACCCUAGAAGGAGGAGGCAUCAGAGGUUGAUCAUUUGGAGCUUCAUUACGCGGUACAGCCCCAGAAGACGAAGGCAAUAAAUGCCUUUGGAACAAACCCACAAAUCUCUGAUGAUCAAGUAAAACCUGACCAUCAGAUUCCUUCAUCUGGUCAAGCUUCCUCUUCAUGUUUGUAGCAUAGUCAUGUGCGAGCCGGUGCAACUGUUUAUUCUCAUGCUUGAGCCUUCUAAUCUCCUGCUUGAGACUCAUCACUUCAGCCGCCAAUGAUUCAACUUGGCGGGUUCGAGCAAAUAGGCGUUGGGCCAUAUUAGACACAGAACCUGCACACUGAACACUAAGAGCCAGAGAAUCCUUAACAGCCAACUCAUCAGACCGUUUGGAAAGUAGUCUGUUAUCUUUGGGAGUGAGAAGGGUUCCUGGCCACUACCGCAGCGGUCAUAUCAUUCUUCAUCACGGAAUCCCCAACGGUAAGAGGACCAGUAGGGGAGACGAAGGAUGGGCGCCAUAUGUUGUCUGGAGAAGGCGGGGCUGCCUCUUCAACAAGGUUCAAGUCAAAACGACGGUCGGAGGGGCCAGACAUUUUCAAAGGUGUAGAAAAGAGAAGAGGUCGGACAAAUCAAGAUCUUAGAAGUGCAAGAAUGGAGCUUCUACUGGUGGAUAUUCAAGUGUGCUUUGGAACUUAAUGUCAGCCUCUAUAAAAAUCUGCACUCGACGAAGCUUCAGAAAUCGAAGAGGCUUUUGCUUUCUCAAAAGCUGGGCUGCUCAGAGACCACGAGGGUCGAUCUCAGAAAUCGAAGAGGCGUUUGCUUUCUCAAAAGCUGGGCUGCUCAAAGACCACGAAGGCCGAUCUCAGAAAUCGAAGAGGUUUGCUUUCUCAAAAGCUGGGCUGCUCAGAGACCACGAGGGCCGAUCUCAGAAAUCGAAGAGGUUUGCUUUCUCAAAAGCUGGGCUGCUCAGAGACCACGAGGGCCAAUCUCAGAAAUCGAAGAGGUUUGCUUUCUCAAAAGCUGGGCUGCUCAGAGACCACGAGGGUCGAUCUCAGAAAUAGAAGAGGCACCUACUUUUCCAGCCUUGUCAGCACCUGUCACACGCACACUCAGCUUUGCGGAAAUUAUGGGCAUUCUGUCGAAGAUUUCUGGCGAAGUAGAAAGCACAUGAAUCGUACUGUUCAAUCACCCACUUCCCACACGCAACAGUAGCUCAUGGGUACCACAUAUAACUUUGCCAAAGUCCUCUGACAAAGUUGAGACUACUUUUCCAGCCUUGUCAGCACUUGUCACACGCACACUCAGCUUUGUGGAAAUUAUGGGCAUUCUGUCGAAGAUUUCUGGCGAAGUAGAAAGCACAUGAAUCGUACUGUUCAAUCACCCACUUCCCACACGCAACAGUAGCUCAUGGGUACCACAUAUAAACUUUGCCAAAGUUCUCUGACAAAGUCGAGACACGUGAAGCUUGCAACUCUCACUACAUCGCUCUGACCAAGAAGGGUAAAAGAAUAGCAAAGAAACAACACUAACAAAGUUUAGACACAUAAAUUUUGACGGCCUAGCUACCAUAUUAUUACCCACAAGGGUAAAGGAACAGUACCACUGCUGGAUAAUUGGAAAGUCCCGGUAUGUCAACCUCUGUGCUUCAUGGCAAGGUAGACUAGCAAACAUGCCCAACCUUUACUCACAUUCGAGAAAACACUCCCAACAAGAUUGCUUGCCCCAAAAUCGAAGAGGCAUCGCCCUCCGAAUCUCGAGAGCCAGACUCCCAACAUGAUUACUUUCUCAAAAAUCGAAGAGAGGGUAAAGGAACAGUACCACUGCUGGAUAAUUUGAAAGUCCCUGUGUGUCAUCCUCUGUGCUUCAUGGCAAGGUAGACUAGCAAACAUGCCCAACCUUUACUCACAUUCGAGAAAACACCCCCAACAAGAUUGCUUGCUCCAAAAUCGAAGAGGCACCGCCCUCCGAAUCUCGAGAGCCAGACUCCUAACAUGAUUACUUUCUCAAAAAUCGAAGAGAGGGUAAAGGAACAGUACCACUGCUGGAUAAUUGGAAAGUCCCUGUGUGUCAACCUCUGUGCUUCGUGGCAAGGUAGACUAGCAAACAUGCCCAACUUUUACUCAUAUUCGAGAAAACACUCCCAACUCCCAACAUGAUUACUUUCUCAAAAAUCGAAGACACCGCUCUCCGAAUCUCGAGAGCCAGACCCCCAGCAUGAUGAUUGCUUUCUCAAAAAUCGAAGAGGCAUCGUUCUCCGAAUCUCGAGAGCCAGAUCCCCGACAGGAUUGCUUGUUCGAAAACCGAAGAGGCACCACUUUCCCAACUUCAAGAGCCGGAUCUCCUUGGAUAAAGCUUGUCUGUAAUCUUCACACGCAACAUCAGCUUUCCAGAUACCACAGACCACUUUUUCAAAGUGCUCUGACAGAGUUAAAACUUGUGAAGCUGGCAGCUCCCACUACCGUGCUAUGACCAAGCAGGGUAAAGGAAUAACAUUAUUACUUGAUGUUAGGGAAACUCCUAUAUAUGUCGACCUCCAUUCCCAACGGACAGGCAGACCUGCAAAAAUGCUCAACCCUUCCUCUUAUCUGAGAGGGCACUCCCAACGAAGCCUUUCGAAAUAUUCAGCUUUCUUUCCCCCGAUAAUACCUCUGUAAACAAGCUAUACUAGAGCAAGAAUAUCUCAUAUCAUCAGGGUUAAAAGCAAGAGUAUCCCAUAUCAUGCUUUUUCCCUGUCUUUUCCUUUGGCCUGUUUCUUACCUGCAAGACAAGGAGAAAGAGAGCAAUCAGUCAGCACUUGGAAUCAAGCUUCCAACCAGGAACUGACUGCCUGGAACCCCUUACCCUGGCAUUGCUCUCGAGUACUCAUCUUCAACAUCUUAUGCUUCCAAGGAAGAUACCGCAUCUGCCUAAGGAACAGAUAGGGCAAGUGAAAAGGAUACAAGGAAGCAUGUGGAGACAAGCGUAACAGCACACGUGCCGAUAUAUCCACUACUCUGUCAAAAGCAAAAGUAUCCCAUAUCAGCAGGGUCGAACGUACUCUAGAUUUGAUGGACUUGUUUUGACCCUCAAAUUCUUCAGUCGGCCUUAUACUUUAGAGGAAACCAGAAAACCCUCCAGCCCAGUUCAAGAAUAAGCCUGUGGAAAGUUACUUCUUCAAAAAGCAAAAGUAUCCCAUAUCAUCUCUUCUCAUUUUUCUUCUCUUUAUCCUUCAUGCUGCCUGCAAGAUAGGGAGAAUGUGAACAAUCAGCCGGAGCUCUGAUUGCUUACCUUGUCUGUUACCUCUUUCAGCAGAUCCCCUAGCUCGGCGACUUGGGGGACUCCUACUACAUGGUUUGUAUCGCGCUUGACCAAGCCUGAAACUACAAGUAAGCUUCAAGUGACAUUGAUACAUUACCUUGUGCAUCUCCACCAGUUACAGAUACCACCCCUGGAUGGAGGAAGAGUACUUCCAGAGAAGAUUCCACAUCUACCUAUGAGACAGAUAAGGAAAGUCAAGCCGAUACCACACUCCGGGACUUAGAAGUUUCGUGGUUACGAGAUCAUUCUCCCACAAUAUUUCCUAAUGUCAUUUGUACUAAAUCAUUCACUUGUACUCCCUAAAGGAGAGCUUGAACCUAUGUACUUGUGUAAACCCUUCACAAUUAAUGAGAACUCCUCUAUUCCGUGGACGUAGCCAAUCUGGGUGAAUCACGUACAUCUUGUGUUUGCUUUCCUAUCUCUAUCCAUUUAUAUACUUAUCCACACUAAUGACCGGAGCAAUCUAGCGAAGAUCACAAAAAGUGACCGUUUUCGCUACCUAGGAUCUAUCUUGCAAGAGAACGGAGAAUUAGAUGGAGAUCUCAACCAUAGAAUACAAGUUGGAUGGAUGAAGUGUAAGAGUCUAUCCGGCGUGUUGUGUGAUCGUCGUAGGCCACUGAAGCUCAAGAGAAAAUUUUAUAGGACGGCAAUAAGGCCAACGAUGUUGUAUGGCACAAAAUAUUGGGCGGUGAAGCAUCAACACAUACACAAAAUGGGUGUAGCGGAGAUGAGGAUGCUUCGUGGGAUGUAUGGGCACACGAGAAAGGAUAAGAUUGGGAAUGAGGAUAUCCAAGGUAAAGUAGGAGUAGCCAAAAUUGAAGGAAAUAUGAAAGAAAAUCGGUUCCGGUGGUUUGGACAUGUGCAAAGAAGGCCUACUGACGCUCCGGUUCGAAAAUGUGACUACGGGACAGAAGUUCAGGGUCGAAGGGGUAGAGGAAGACCUAGGAAAACUUUGGAAGAGACCCUAAGAAAAGACUUGAUUACUUGGAUCUAACGGAGGACAUGACACAAAACCGAGCGCAAUGGCGUUCUAGGAUUCAUAUAGCCGACCCCACUUAGUGGGAAAAGGCUUUGUUGUUGUUGUUGUUGUUGUUUGUUGUUGUGGUCACGUUUUGCUCAAGAGGAAGUCGAAUGUCCUAUAUUGAAAAUAUAAAGCAAAGUAUCAAAAUUUUACCAAAAUAAUUACCAAAUUAUACUAAGAAUAGGAUAAAAUACAUAAUAUAUUAUUGACUCAUCAAGGACGAUUAGGUAUUGAUUUCGUCACAAAUAUUUAUCAUCACUAGUGAGUCGAAUGUAAAAUUUUAUCCCAAUCAAAUGCUAAACUAAUAAUUAAUUGACGAAUGUGGCAAUCUUAUAAUUCUCAGAUUUUUUGUUUCAAAUUUUUAUGGGCCAUUUGAUAACAUUGUUUUCAUAUUUUUGGUAAUUUCACACAUAUGAGAAUUAAAAUACAAUAAAAUUAGGGAGAGCUGUGAUAUUAAUGGUGUUUAUGACACACCUUGACCGGAAUCAGGGCAUGUUGGCGGUCACGUGAGAGUGACGUAACCAUGUGCACAGUGUGAAAACAAUAAAGAUAAAAGGGAAUUGAGAAGGAAUAAAAACCAAACUACUAGCAGAACUAGUUAAGAUAGAGUGCUAGUGAGAGAUUAAGUGUGAAAUACACAACCAGAGCAUAAAUAGUCUAAGUGCAGUCAAGUAGUACAAGUACUAAUAAUACAACACUUGAGGGUGAUCCUACAUGGUGAUGUUCUGUCAAAACCCCCAUCAGAAUCCUCGUGAUCCACCAAAGCACUUCUACUUAAAACCUGGAGGGACGCAAAACAAAAAGUGUGAGUGGGCAAAAACAAAGCUUUUCAAAAUCAUUUCAUUUCUCAAAAGUUCUAACCCCUCGCCGUAAAACCUGUAUAAUUUCCCAUAAAAUAAUACUAAUAAUAAGCUGUAUCCAAAAUAAUACUCAAGAUGAAAAUCCACCAAAGUAUACCAUGCCAAAGUAUCUCAAUGCAAUGCUAUAGGUAAACUAGGCAAAAUAUCGCAUUAGCCAAAUCUCUCUAACUCAAACUGCACUAUUGAGUAUAUAGCUCAUAAUCAAUCUCAAUCAUAUCAAAUCAAAUCCAUUUCCUGCACACGAGUCAUAACCACCUAAAGUAGUCUGUAUUACAAGACUAGGUGUAAAAUAAACAUGUUUUAGUGCUACGAUCGCGUAAAGACUCUGCGAAUGAUCGUGGGUCACCUACGAGUCGAAACCACCUAAAGUGGUAUGUACGACAAGCCUGUGCACCUAACUUGGAUCCAAGAUAAGCAUACGGUGCGGGAGGUGAACAUCACAUGAAAGACUGUGCCCUAACUCUGGGCGGGAGCACUAACACCGGGUGCAAGUUUAUGAGCUUUCAUCACAUCGCAUCAUAACUCGCAUAACUGAAUUAAUCUCACAUCUUUAAUUUAUAAACUUACCUGGCACGUACCUGUGCGUCCACAGCACCAAUCAUAAUUAUAUGCAACUACUAAUGCAUAAAUAAAAUAGGCAAAUACUUUGCAUGGCAUUUCAAAAUGUAUAAUCAUUCAAAUUCAUUUUUUGGGAAAAAUCUCAAGUAUAUAGGUUUACACGGAAAACCAAAAGCCCACUCACUGGUAUGUUGAAGGGUCGUAGCACCCGAACCUCGAUUAAUGGCGCUCGUCCUUAGGAUAAGUCUCAUCUAUAUGCGAAAUAACUGAAUAAACGUUAUUUAAAGCACAUACACAAAAAUAGGAAAUAUCUUCUCAUACAUUGCCAAAUGAGGUAUAUAAAUAUACCAUCGUGACCUACACAACUCCAUGAACAUCCCCAAAUUUGUAGAAAACUUUUUGGAGUUGUCACGCUCCAACGAGGGCACGGCACUAUGCGCCCCCGCUCGCAACCAACCUUGACGAAACCCUAUCUACCGUUAGGAAUAUUUCGUUAAAAUCAACCAAUGUCGUUAAUCACCGUUAGGAAUAUUUCGUCGUCUCCUACCUUCAAACUUCGGCGACCGUCACGGUCGCCGAAAACUGGAAAAACUUUAAAACCUUAUAACUUCUUCAUUUUUGUACCAAAUUUCACCAAAUUUAUAUCAAAUUGAAGCCUUGAAGGAGUAGAAUAAAACCUUACCACUUUUAGACCAUAAAACUCCAGGAACUCACUGAAAAAUAGCUCCGAUAAUCCAGCCAAACUUAAAACUCGCCAAUUUCACAUUCCCGACGUCCAAUUUACUUGAUUUUUCUUCUCCGAGCUUCGUAAUGAUGUUCUAAAGCUUCCUACAAGCUUCAAAUCUCUUGAAACAUCCAUAAUUACGACCACAUGAAUAGUACCCCCGAAUCGGGGAUUCUUAGUCCUCGUGAAAUCGAAGGUUUCACGUCUUAAAUUUAGUAUAAAUGAACUCAGAAGCUUGCAAGGAGUUCAAAAAUUACCUUAUUAACGUCGAUCCGUGCAUGAAAGCUUGAGUUCGAAGUUCGUCCGUACGGCUUGUACGGAAAAUGGAAAGAAGUAAGAGAGGGAGGAGAGAAAAAGAGCACGGGAGUGAUGUGUAUGUGUGCGAGUGAAUGUGUGGUCCAAGUUGGCAACAGCCACCAACCACAAACUAGGAAAGUUUAGUUCUAAUUGGUCCAAAAUAUUUAGAACUUAACAUAUUGGUCCACAACCCAAGUCUAAACCACACAACACAACUCAAAACGUCCAAGGGCAUAUUUGAAAUUUCAUGCCUAAAAAUAUAACAUUUCGGGGCGGGUUGUGACAGUUUAUUUAUGAGAUAUGACUAUUCCUUUUAUUUUUUUGUCAAACAAUAUAUUUUGUUAGAUUAGAUGUUUGAUUAGCCAUCGACAGAGUUUAAACCAACGCCGUCAUGCAAGGGCUCAACACUUUUCCACCACUGUGGUAAAGGGCCACUUGCAAGAUAUGAAUAUUCCUAGAUGUUUAUAUUUAGCUCUUUAAUUGUACUGAACUUAGUUGUGAUUCUCAAUUAAUCAUAUGCACUAGUUUAGUCACAUUGAUUAGAGUAAUGGGAUGAGGAUCCUCUUCGGAUCCUUACAUUCUAUCCCUUCUUCAUACAUUGUGUGACCAACUUUCUUUAGGUACUGUUGUGUUCAGGGACAGAGCUAAAAAUUUCUUUGGGUGGAGGCAACCCGAAAACAACUUAAAAAACCUUAAUACAGUAUAGUUUAUACCCAAUAUGAUAAUAAUGAGGAUUUCAAAUUAUGAUGUAUCACAAUUUCAAUGUUACAAAAAUUUCAAUAUAGUAUUGGAAAGUGGCAAAGUGAUGAGAAAAAUAUUAAUACAUGAUAGGCGAGAGGGGUUUUUCAGUUUAAAUAACAGAACAAGAUUACUUUUGCUCAUAUAAUAUUUGAUAUGAAGUAUAAGUAGUAUGAACGUAUGUUGAAUAUUAGAUACAUAUGUUUUCCUCAAAGAUAGCGCGUAUAUAUUAUAUAACUAUAGUCUGCAACUAAACAAAUAAAUUACUUGAGUGGGGACAUCUGCCUCAGUGAGCCUUCAUUGGCUCCGUCCAUAGUUGUGUUUAAUUUUAAAUAAAAUAUUAUAAAAAUAUUUUUUGACCUCACAAUGAACGAUGAGCGGAUAUGAUAUUUGGAUAUCUAGGAUCUUCACAAACAAGAUUCAGGAUUGAGAUCCAAAUCCAGAGUAGUGUGCCUUACUUUUUUGGGUGAAGUCGAUAAGUUCAAAAAAGAGGAAACAAAAUUUCAGUGGGGUGGGCCGCGUUUAUGUAAACACCCGCAACCGCAAGUGAUCUAAACCUUCUCCAACUUCCUCUAUAAAAUGCACGGGUUAUUCACUCGUUCUCAAACCCUCACUGCCUUUUGAAUUUCGGUAAACCCUAGCCGCUCCAUUUCUCUCUGAGGUAAACCCCAUCCCUAAACCCUAAUUCUCUCUCUCUCUCUCUCUCUCUCUCUCUCUCUCUCUCUGUAUGCUAUCGUAGUUUAUCAAUUCAUGGUUUGUAUGAUUUGUUUUGUUUCUCAUCUUUUUUAUUGAUUGUUUUUGUGGGAAAAUGAAUGUGUUUUGGGUUCUAUAGGCUAUGACCAGGAAGUUGUAUGACUCUGUGAUUUGGGUAGUUGAUUUUGUUUGUUUAGCUGCCGAUCUGCUUGAAGAAAAUGGUAGAAACCUAGACUCUGUUUUGUUUUUCAGUCAAGUAGACAAGAAGAAGGGGAAAAGGGAGGACUUGCACUUUCCACCCUUUUACAAUUUACAGAGAUAAAAAUGGUUAGGUGUGUCAAACUAUGGGGCUAAAGACUGUUUUCAUUACUUUCUCUAUAGAAUAAGACUGAGGUUGUGAGACCCAAAAUAUUUCAAAUGUGUUUGUGGUUCAUGUGGAAAUGUAAGACCCUUCUUUGUUUUCUUGAUGGGUUUCGUUCUGAUUCUCCGUCUUGUGAUUGUUAAAGAAAUAUGUCCAGGGUCACUUAAUAUGUUAGUAUACUUUUAUUUACCAUGUAGUGUUCUUUCCAAAUUUUGAUGCUUUGUAGUGGAGAAAAUAAUUUUUAGGGUCGAAUUGACUUGAUUUUGGGUUGAGUCAGCUAUAUUAUUUUAUGGUUUUGUAAGAUUUGCUGGUUAUUGAUGUGCCCUUCUUGUCAGUGGAUGUGCAUUCAUAUUCAGCCCUUUGUGAUACUGUUAAGUUGUUUUUAUAGUCAAUAUCUGUUGUAUUGAGCGAGCUUUUUGUUAUGGUUUCACACAAUUUUGCAUGUUUGCUUUGGCACACACAUAUAUACUAAUUUUAUUUCCGAUGCGUAACUAUUGCGGCAUCUAACAAUCUACGUAUGGAAUUUGUGUUGCUUCUGUUGGAUUAAUGGUUACAGUGGGAAUUAUUUCUGGUGCAGGCUUGUGUUUUCUGAAAACUGUGAUCUUUCGAAAUGGCGUUCUGUAACAAAAUUGGGAGCCUCCUGAAGCACAACAUUUCCCAGACUGGACAAGCACCCAUGACAGCAAUGCUUAAUUCUGUGCGCUGCAUGUCUUCCAAGCUUUUCGUUGGAGGUAUAUUAUUUGACAAUGUUGAUUUAUGACGUCAACUUACAGACACAGCAGCUUUGUCAUUGACAUUUUGAUUUAAAUUGUUGCUUGUUAGGCCUUUCAUUUGGAACUAAUGAUGAGUCUCUUAAGGAGGCAUUCUCAAGCUUUGGUGACGUGACUGAGGGUAAGUUACUAAAGUGGUUUGUUAGUUAUUGUCUGCUUACUGAAAGGCCUCCAUUUUUACCAUAACGUAUAUGUACUUUCAGUUUCUUCAUUGUCACUACACUUAGUUUUGGUAGAGCAUUAUUCUUUCUAUCCUUUGUUAUAUGAUACUUCACAGUAAAGGGUUAGGCAAAUGAAAGUUUGUUUAUCUUGGUUCUUUUUUUAUUUAUUUAUUUAUAUAUAACACCAAAAUUUUAUUGAGGGUCUCUUGGUUUUCAAUUGUUAUUAUUAUUGGUUCUAUGAUGCUUAGUUUGAGAUCUAUUAAUGAUCUCCAUCAGGAAGCUUUUCUUUGCUUUUGCAAUGCAUAGUUGGAUCGCUGCUUUUGCCAGUUGUCUUUUAUAUUCUUUUGGUUCACUAAAACGAGUUUUGUGUUUUUGAUUUUCUGCAUGUUGAGUAAUGGGAAUAGGCUGUCCGGCACUGAAUAAAAUAAAUGGUCACCAUAUGAUGCUGAUGUUUGUUUGUUUACUUCCUCCUGUCCUCCCUCUCUUUGCGAUAUCACUACCGAAGUUUCCUUGAGUGCUUGUAAGCUUAGUUAGGCGUCUUUUGAUCUGUUGUUCGAUUCUCUAAGUAUUGGAAUUAACAAUUGAAUUUUGUAUGUGCAGCAAGAGUUAUCACGGACAGGGAUACUGGAAGGUCUAGGGGUUUUGGAUUUGUUAACUUUGCCAGUGAUGAUUCUGCCAGUUCAGCACUUUCUUCCAUGGAUGGCCAGGUCAGAAUUUGAAUUUUAUCAUUGAGGGGCCAUGAAUAUAUCUGGGUGAUAUGGUCCCCUGUAAGAUGUUAGUUUUGUCUUGUAAUGAUCUUCUUGUGACUAUGGACUUGUUUGUAUUUCAGGAUUUGCAUGGGCGAAACAUUCGUGUCAGUUAUGCCACUGAGCGAACUGGUCCUAGACCAUUUAACGGUGGUGGCGGAGGGGGGUGAUUACCGUGGCGGCUAUUAAACAAUUGCUUGGUAAACAAAGAAAGUGGAUUUUAGGCUGUAGCCACAAGUCCCGUCUAAAUGCUUUUCUAUGUUUAGUCCUAGAAGUGGCGUUGUUUCGUCAUUUGGAUUUAUUAGCUUAAUUCCGGGAUUCUAGUUGUGCUGGUUAUGGUUUUCAUAUGUAGUCGGCUGUGGAGAUUGGCAGUAAAGCUUUUCAUUUGCAUGAUAUCCAGCAUUGUUGCUGAAUAUACGUCUCUGAAGGAUUUUAGUAAGAUUUCUACCGCUUUGUUUGAGCUCUAACCGUGUUUUCAUCGCGAUGCAUGCUUUGUUCUUAUGUUGGCUUUGGUAUUUGCAAAUGUUGAUCAGUGCGUACUGUGUUUCCACAUAAGUCGGGUGUUCGAGUGACACGCAUCCGUUAGUUCCUACUUUCCCUUCGUUUUCCUCUUUUGAUGUGUCCAUUCAUUGUGCUUGUUCCGUUUCAUUUCUCUGUGACGAGAAACUAAAUGCGGAUGAAUUGUGGUUAGAGGUGUAAUGAAACACUCGAACCCGAACUAGCUAGUUCUUUGCAACAUGUUUUGAAGCAAAGAAAUACUAAGGCCAUCUCCAACCAAAGGCUGGUCAGAAGGUUUGUUUUAGCCAUUUGGUCAUUCAAGAUAUUAAUAUUUUAAUAAAUAGUAUAUGGUCAUAUUUACUUCCAUCUCCAACCGAGGGUCAAAGGGGGUUAUAGGGUCAAAUAUAAUUUAUUAUUUAAAAACUACAACUUAAAUUCAAAUCAAACGGUUAAGUGAUGUUAGCAUGAAAAAAAAAUGAAGUGAGAUAGUAUGGAAUGAUGAAAAUUAUGUGAGGAAUGAUGAAAAUUAUGUGAGAAAUGAUGUAGGAAUGACAUAGAUAUUUAAAUGAUGUAGGAAUGGCUUUAGGUGUUUAUGAAUGGCUUAGGAAAAAAAAGGGAAUUUUUAAAUUUUCAUAAACAAAAAUUUGGCCAAAAAAAAACAUUUGAAUCCAACUGUAACUAGCUGUUGAAUUUCAAAUUUUGGCAACCAUUCUUGUUGGUUAUAUUUGAUAGGAAUAAGUACUAUUACUGUCCGUUAUAUCGAUAUAAUUAAUCAAAAUUUUGGCCGAGCCCGGGGCUGGCUUGAUUCAGCCAGUCGGUUGGCCUUUCGGCCCUUUCAGAUUCUGUGGGGCCCACGAGCCAUCUGGCCUAACCUUCGGUUGGAAACGAUUUUCGGGCAAUUUUCAGCCCUCUAGCUAUCUGAACCAUUCGGUUGAAGAUGACCUAGGAGGCAAGACAACAACAAAUGGACCUUCAUUAAAUGUUGUUUCCUUGUUUGCUUAGGCUUUUGUUUUUCUUGUUUGUUGGGCCUCACUUGUUUGUGUUUCUGUUGGGCAUCGUUGUUUUCUAGGUGAGUUGUGUUUCUUUUGAGCUCUCGUUAGUACUAAAUUUUCUCUAUUUCACAUUUUACGUUAUGGAUUUGAAUUUCAUAUGGAUUUAAAUUGUAGAGAUUCUAAGGAUCCUUACAUCUUAACUAUUCAUCGUGCAUCGUGUGAUUAGAAAUCAUUUGAUUUUUUUAUUUAAAAUUAAAUGCAAAUAGUACUUAACGAAAAUUGAUCGCACGAUGUACGAUGAACGGUUAAAUGAUCUAUCAGUUCUUAUUCAUCUAACAAGAGUAGUUAGAUAUUGUUCGGUUAAAUCUUGUUCGGUUAAAUGAUCUAUCAGUUCUUAUUCAUAUGUGUAAUUUAAAUGUGCACUUUUAAUGUGAACUUGAGAAGGACCUGGGUUGUCUGCCCUCCCCAUCCCAUACCCUUCACAUCCCCUUCUAUUUCUGUGGUUACGGUUAAGCCAUGUCAACAUUUUAUAUUGAUUUUUUUUAUAAAAAUAAUAAGACAAAAAACAAUGAGAAUAUAAAAAUAUUGAGAGAAUUAACAGUAACCACAUAAAUAGGAGGGGAUGAGAAGGGUAUGAGAUAGGGGAGGACAGACAAUCAGGUCCACUUGAGAAAGCCUCUGUGGGUACAACGUAUUCUGGUAUAUAAUUACUUUGUUUUAACACCUUUUAAUUUGUUGGACCCUUUUAAUAUAUAUAUAUAAUUUUUUUUUUUUUUUUUUUUUUGUGGUUGUGAGAAGAAUAACAUGGUGUUUGGAGGAGGGUCAUAAUCCCACAUAAUUACGCAGUUAAUUGUGUCGAAACAAACAAAGCUGCUUUCCCUUUCUCCUUUACUUUUUGCCCUUUUCAUGCUAAUCUGUGCACACAAAUUUGAUUUAUAAAUUCCACGUCCUUCCGCUUUGAUUAGAUAGAGAUUCUAUCAAGAUCUAAAAUUGAAGGAUCAGAUAAUCUAAACUACUCAAAUUUAAUUCGAUGAUCACCAUUAACCUUUUUUUGUUGACCCACCUUGUACAAACAAGUACUCUGAUUUCUCAUUCACGUAAACUAGGACACCAAAUUUUUUGGUACUUAGGUCCGGACACUAGGUCCAGAAAAUAUCCAAAUUCGCUUUCCCCAGGUCAUUUCCUUGUAUGAUCAUAUCAAUGACAAUUGGGAUGUAUUCACAGUAUUUGAAGAUAAUUUUAUGAGGUGAUUUGAAGAUUAAUUUAUAAUUUCGUAUUUGUUUUGACGAUAAUGAUUUUGUCUCAAGUGCAUUUACAUAUUUUACAUAACACCUUUUCUUUUAUUACGGUUGCAAAAAUUAAUUAUUAUGUGAAAAUCAAAGACUUUUUUCAAGGCACUUCUCGACGAAAAAAUCGCUACUACACAAGUACGAUUUAAUCCACGAUUUUCUAACGUGGUGUUUAUCUUUGGUUGGUUGUGCCAAAAAAGCUCCAUGUGGAAUGAUAUAGGAGUGUAACCUGGACGACUUAGAUGGUCAACCUAAAUUUAAAGCAAUAUUCACAAUUUGGAUUUGCAUUGGGUUCGGGGCAUACUUGGAUUGGGUUUGAGUUUGCUCAAUUUUAUCGAGUUCAAUCUUUUAACACCUUAUAUUGUAAGAUUUUUCAACUUUUGAAGUGGAGAUCAUUUUUAAUUUUCAUCCAUGUGAAGCUAAAUAAAAUUACAAGAGAAAGCCAAAGUUUCAACAAAAAAAAACAUAAAAACAACAUUAUUAUUCAUUGUUCAAAAGAAAUCUAACAACAAACUUCAAGUAUAGCCAUCUCAAAACUUGUAUCUAACUCAUAUAAUAUAAAGUUGGAUGGGUAAUAUUCGCAUGAGCAAAUUUGGGAUAAAAUAGGGUUCGGUUUGAGUUGACAUGGGUGGGCAUCAACCCAAUCAAGUUGAAUAAUUGAUUUAUUAAGGUCAUGUUGAGUUUGGGUUGACAUGGGAGGGCAAGACAUCAACCCAAUCCAACUGAAUCAAUCAUCAGGUUGAGGUUGAGUUCUGUUUGGACGAGUUGUUACUUCAUUCUAACCAGCCAAAUCGGAUUUGAAAUCGUGUUGGGUAUGGACGGAUUUGGGUUGACCUAACCCAAGUGCACCCCUAGUAUGACAGGUUGAUUCUCAAUGCUCCACUUUUAUACCAUGCUUGGGCAUGAACUAUUUUAGAUUUUUUUAGAGGUCGAACCUCACUUAGUUUAGGUUUUUCUUCCUCAUUUAUAGGGAUGGACACGGUUUAAUUUAGUUUGCUUUAACUCCUAAAAUAUAGAAUUGAACCGAAUGUAUAUAGCUUAGUUUGGUCCAAUCAUUGAGAGGGGCAGAGAGGAAAACAUGGAGAGGUACAAGGGAUGACGAGAGGAAAAGGGAGAGAUUGGAAGAGGAGAAAGAGGUGGAAAAAGAGGAGAGGAAGAGGGGAGAUAGAAUUGGAUGGAGAGAGAGGACAAGAAAGAAGAACAUAAGAGAUCAUGUGCAACUAGAUCUACAAUUUCUUUGGAAUGUUUUAUAAGAAAAAAAAAGUGUAAAAGUAAACAAAAGAAAUUAUACAAUUGGUCCGAUUUGGUUUUUAGGUAGCAAAAUUGAGAAUUGUAUAAGACCAAAAGCUUUUCUUUUGGUUUGGAUAGGCUUAAUUACUCAUUGUGCUGAUUCAAAUGCACACAACUCGAACAAGAGCAAUGUUGAGGCGACUAAAUUUGUAGACAAAAUGAUAUAGAAGUUGAUGAUUUGAUUAUAACUUAAUUGUUGAUAAAUGUGUUCAUUUCCUAUUGGUGGCACAUUAUUUAGUUUGCAACUUUGUUUACAAAUUUAAUCUCCCUAACAUUAUUCCUCGAACAACGUUUGCCCCAUUUUGGCUAAAUCUACAAGUGACACGGGCAAGACGUUUUCUUUUACAAGAAGCGAUAGUAAUUUUCAUUAACACACAAUAACACAAUCACAAACACACGAUAACAUAGUUAUAUGGGUUGCCGUACGAGUACCUAUACAUAAAUGUAGAGAUAAUUUGCAAAAUUAGCAUAACAGUAAACUCCUAAUGGCCAUCACAAGAACAAGCAACUCCGUACCAGCACAAGCACUCCGGUACAAAUCCGUCACAAAGACACAGACACAGCAAGCCUAUACUAAGGCACAUGCAAUGUCAUUGUUGGCAAGCUAGACUAUAAAAAUCAUUACUGACGAGCGAGACCGCAAAAACCAUCGCUGCUAAGCAAGACUAUAUCACUCACUAAGUGAGACAUCACCGCUAAAGGUGGUACAUACGAAACAAACACUAAUCUGAGAACGGAGUUCACCAACGUCUCAUCUCCACUAGUUUGGUCCUCUCCACGUGAGAUGAUGAUGUAUCUGUAAGAUCUGCCGCUACCUCAAGCAAGGCGAAGCUGCCACAUAAGCUUUAAAAAGAGUUUUGGGUGGAGCUGAAUAGCUUUGGUGGGUUUGAUUAAAGUAUCACUUGAAGUUUGUAAUCGUAGAGAUUGAAUUUGAUGAAGGUCCUCAGCUUGGAGAUCUGUACCUCUAUAUUUAUAGGCGUUUAGAGAAGCAUUUUUGAUCUUAUCGCUGAGCUAGAGUGAGAGUAGAUCGGCCAUUGACAAUGACAAUAACUGCAUUUCAUGGUUGGUGGCCUCCUUUGCUUUUUUUGGCCCUCAUAAGAUGUUAUGUUGUCGUUUGAUGUAUAUGGUGACGCGUUCACCCAGUCAUUUAAGGAGUUGUGAGAUUUUCGGGCUUGGUUGCUUACGUGCAAGACGCUCUUCAGGAGAAGAUGAGUCCAAACCCCCAAAGGAUUGUCAUGUGCUGGGAAGGGGUCAUCCCGAGCCUUAGUGAGCCUACUCGAGUUGGGCUGUUGUUGGUGGGGCCGGUGCGCCUUUGCUUAAAUAAAAUUUGAUUGGCCAUAUAGUAGGUCUUAUUUUUAUUUAUGGAAAUAGAUCAUUUCCGAAUAUCUUCUUCUUAAUCCAUCAAAUUCGGAGAUCCAGACCAUUGAAAUUUGAUCCAACAGUUACAAAUAGAGGUCCACUUUAAAAGAUAUAAUAACUUUAGUCGUUUGAUCAAAUUUCAAUGGUCUGGAUCUCCGAACUUGGUAGAUUAAGAGGAAGGGAUCCGGAGAGGAUCCCUUUCCUUUAUUUAUGACCCAAACACGUUGACAUCUAUCUUGAGUGAAAAUAAAGAAAAAUAAAAAGUUGCUAAUGGGAGGCAUUGAAAAUGUUUGAAGGCAUCCGAAAUAUUCUGACUUUUAAAUGAAGCAUGCUAGUAAACCCAUUAUAGGUAGGAAAGCAUAAACAAGACCUCAUGCUAGUAUAUCACAGACUUGUGCUUUUCAAUGGCUGACGAAAUAUUUGCUAUUAAGAUAUAGAAUUUUAGAUGUUACUUAGUACUAUGGUCUAAUGAUAUUCCUCUUCACUUAUAAGUGAGAGGUUUUAGGUUCGAUUCUCGUCAAAGGUGAAUUUGAACCACAUUAUUAUUAGCACAUUGUGAGGCUAGCCCGCCGCCUCUUUUUUAGUGUAGAUAAUAUCAUUUGUUCAAAAAAUAUAUGUAUAGAAUUUCAAAUAAAUUUUUGUAUUUUAUAUAUUCAAAAAAUUAAUUUAAAAUGUCAAUUACAAGGUUUCAUUCCUAAAUCCUAAUUACACUGAGAUCUUUUAGGAUAAUACUUUACUCACGGUGUGCUAAAAGUUGAUCAAGUUCAGAAUAAUAUCUAUUUUAGAGCCCAUCUCACUGAAAUUUUGACAUAUCCAUACUUCUUUGGUGAUUUAAAUGAUAAUUAACUUAAAGCUCAGUAUUUCAAACUGAAUAAUAAAUAUAAUCAAAGAGAAAUGAAAGGGGGACUCUCUUAAAAUGAGACAUCUCCAUGAAAUCUCUGUCACCUCACAUGUUAACGUUAAUUCUCAUACCAACGUUAUAAAACAUUGUGACAACAUUAACAUUUCUCAUAAUCAAAUUAGCAAAAGCAUUAAGCAAUGUCUUACUUACCGGGGAAGUCAACAUGUUAAACCUCAUCUCUCUCAUCACAAAAUUCCCUUAGAUUCUAAAACUAGAUCUACACUAUUCAUUGACCUUGAAAAUGAUAGAAAUCCAAAUAAUUUUAUUUGAAAGUGACCUGGCUUUCUUCCUCAGUUAAAUCAUUACAAAGAUUUUGGAAAAAAAAAAAAAAAAACUAAACUAAACUAAUGAAGGGGAUAACGAAAAGACCAGAAGCCAAUGGUGUUUUGUGUUGACAUUAAGCUCAGCAGCCAAGGAGACAUUCCUAACAAAAAAGAGGAGUUUUUCUUCAAAACACACCAUGAUCGAUUUACGAAAUUUCAUACUUAUGAUCAAACGUUAAUAUUAUAAAUCACUUUAUAAAUUUUUUUUGUAAAAAUCUAAUAAAAUAUGAGAUCAUUUAGUCUCAAACUAUAUAAAAAUAAAUGGACAAAUUUAAUUAAAAUAUUAUAAACUAUCUAUCUAUUUACUAUAAGAAUUGAUUAAACGACUAUAGUUUUAAUUGAUUUUUUUGCAUAAAUAAUUUUUACAAAGUAAUUGAUAAUAUAAACGAUUUUAAUCAUAUGUGAGGAGUUCUAAACCCUAAGCCAAGUAUUCCUCUAUAUUUUUUUGCCACCAACCAUUUCUUCAACCUUUUAUUACCUUUUUGGGGAAUUGAACUUCAACCUUAAUAAAAAUUAGAAUGACAAAAUGUCUGUACAUAGUAAUGGAGGCAAACAGGUGCUACUUACGGGAGACAUUAUUAUAACCGCAUUGCAUGGUAUAUGAACUCAUUCCAUGGAUUCCUCCACACCAAGCGGGCUCAAAACCAGAUUGGAAUGGAUGACACAGUUUCAGCAAUUUAAAUAUUUGGUGUUUCGAGUAAUCCAUUAUAUAUUUUUACUUAUAAAGUAUUACUUUAGAGAGGUUUUAUUGUAUUAUAUAUAAUGCAGAUGACGUUUACCGCACCGGCAAAAAAGCAAUCAUGCAUAUGCAUCCUAAUGCGGGUUUCAUCUUCACCGAUUCCUCUUUCCCCGUAACAACUAACAACUAAUGUUAACCCUAAACCAUUAAUCCAAGGGUUCUAUGAUAUCAUAUUUGGGGUUUUGGUAGAUAUAAUAUUUGAGAGAAGUCCCAAAAGAUAGACGGUUCGGUGAAAUAACUUACGAAGUGAGCCCACAAAAACUUAUGUAAAAAGUAGUGUCGCGGAUUCAUCCCAUUAUAUAUAAUGAAUUUUGAGUCUUUCAGAAUAUUCAAUAUAUUGAAUCGUCUUAUUCAUAUUAGAUAUGUAUAUCAAUGCUUCUAAACCAAAAUUCUAUUGACUAUCAAAGUCAAAUUAGUUUAUCCAUAAUUAAGGUUAUUACACAUCUUUUGCAAGUGUUGAGGCUGUAAUGAUUUAGUUUAUUCAUAAACUAUACUUAUCCGGUCGUUGGUAUUAUUUAAUUAAUCAAAAGUCAUCCUAUUUAUUGAAUAAGUCUCUUAUAAUUAGGUUACAGAUCCAUUGCUGGGGUUCCCAUUGACUUGGUCAUCGUGGUUUAUUAACCAACGAUUCAUGUGUUGACCAAUUUGGAGAGAUGGAAAGAAUUAGAUGAAAUCAUCAGUCUCACUUAGGCUAAGCUGUACCAAGAAAUCCAAGUUUCGUGAUAUAUAUAUGUAUGUAUAUUCCACUAACUUACACCCUCAACUGUCAAAUAACUGAGAAUCAUUGACCCGAAAGGGUCCGAACAAUCCUUAAAAAAUAAGGUUUUUGGAACUGGAUCUAACUGCCUUAUGUCAAAAAAGCUCAUUGAGUGAUGGCUCAUGUAUAGAAGAAGAAGAAAUUUACUGUCAACAAACCCUAGCUUGAUUAUAGUGGUGUGGUGUGGGAUUAAUGGAUGCCAAGACUAAGAGUAAGUGGAGUCAGGUUGAUGGAUGUUAAGAGUAGAAAUAUACGUCCUCUUUUGGCUUCUACAAAAGGUUUAGUUGUCACAUAUAUAUUGUAUUUUUUAUGCCAAAUAGUUACAAAUUAUUAUUAUUUUUUUAAAUAAAAGGUGGCAUAUGUUUCAUUCAAAGCCAGGCAAAGGCUAGACAAUACAAGGAAAAGAGGCAUCGUCCUCAAGAAUGGAGUGUAAAACGACAAGUCGAUGUACAACAGUAUUUGUUUGGCGGCAGAAUGUGUAAGUUGUCUUCUAAUUUGGAGGAAGAAUAUGGAAGUUGUCUUCUAACAUUGAGGAUUGAGAUGGAGUAUUCUGAGCAAGUUGAUGCAAAGAACUUAUCCUCACUAAUCCCACCGUUUUCAAAGGGAGAAUAUGGUUCUUUAGAUCAUAUGAAAGAAGUAAAACCAUCGAUAUUGACGGAAAAUUUAAGGAUUUCAUUGCGGUUUGACUGAAUACAUUAGGAAUGUCAUUUUGUUUUCGAAUUGAAUGUAACAUGUCACAUUUCCAUGAACCUGCUUGGCAAACUUGGUGCAUUCUCAAGAAUGUACUUACCAACAUAAAAUAUAUUUCUCACUUAGUCUCAUACAAUUAAUUCGUGAAUAUAAGUAAAAUAAAAAUGCUACUCUUAUCAUAUUAAGGCUUUUUAGCUAAAAUAGUCAUUGAAAUUGACAUAACUUCUUAUUUUAGUCCAUAAGAUUUGAAAUCGAUAACAGUAAUCCAUGAGUUUGUCCAUCAUUUGAUGGUGAACAAAUUUAGAUACCACUUCUAUUAAUUUCAAAUCUCGAAACAAAAAUAAAGAAGUUACAAUAAUAUCAGAGAUUAUUUUAACUUAAAAAAAACUGUAUAUUUACCAUACUUUAUUUGUUUAAUUUCUCUAAUAAAGCAAGAUUCACAUAUAUUGUUUGGUCUUACCUCUGUUAUAAACUUCUCCAAAGAAACAAAAAGUACUGCACCUCCUGGAAUGCACGGUCAAAUGACAGGCGGGGGUGUCAGUAAGUGCAGGAAAAAAGUUCUUGAUUGUUCCUCAAAGUAUUAUCAAAUGCUUCUUUUCGUUCCUACUUCUGCGAUUCUCAAUCAUAUAGUGAUUGUUACGUUAAAAUGGACAACACAUGUCAAUGAUAUACAAUUUGUACAUUACGAGUUCACAGUCAUCGUGACAUCUCGUACUAAUAACACAAGAACAAGAGAAAAAAAGUUAACACAUAUUCUUAUAUUAUUACCAUGGGGCGCUACAUGUUUAUGCAUCUGUGUCAUGUAAGUCAUUUUUAAAUAAAUGCAUACUUUGUAUAAAACGGAUUUACCACUGUAAUUUUUGUUCAAUAAUAUAAUAUCAUGUUGAUAAAAACUUGCUCACAAUAUAAUUUUAUUAGAGUAGGAUAUCAUAGUGUGAAUCCGUUUAAUAUAAAUCUUCUUUGGAAGAGUACUUAGGGAUUAGUGUUGGCAUGAGAUGGUUGAAUGACCAAAACGUAGAACCUUGAGUAUUGGCUGACCUGAAACUUCUAGCGUCCAUUGAAGUCGAUGUGGAGAGUUAGAAGUCUGCAGGAAGCAACUUUGACCGCCAAUAGUCUUCUACAAUGCACUCACCCUUGUCAACUCACUCAAUGGAAAGUCUAUUAUACGUAAUCAGUGUUGGUGAAUAGUAUCAAGACGUUAAUAACAUUAACUUGCACUUUAAAACACAACAAUCAACGAAGUAAUUAUGUGAUUUCAUGUAAUCGUGGUAUUAGACCCUAAUUACAUUUUCAUGAUUUGUAGGAUAUUUUAAGGUUAAUUUAUGUUUGAAUUCAAAUCCAAUAAUUAGUAGAUAGAACUCUUUCUCAAGAAGCCAAUAACAACAUUAUAUUCUUAUCAAAAGCAAAAAGAAAAAGGAAAUUACUUUACAGGUCUUCAUUUCAACUCAAUAAUUUUGAUGCUGCCACAUGGAUGGGGAAGAACUAAAAAAACAAAAUAAAAUUUCAGACUCAAUUUAAAAAAAAAAAAAAACCUUGAUGCCAUGGCUAAUAUCUAGAAUAUCCGAUUUUUAAUAAAAAAUAAAUUAGUUAUGUAGGGAACACGAGUUGAAUAAGCAUGUAUAACUUGUGUGGCUGAGUAUUUCUCACCGACAGAUCUUAAACCCACUUCGGUGAAAAUUUUCUUGGUCAAAAACCAAUUAAAUUAACCAUGUGCACUUGUAUGCUAGCACUUAGGUUUGGCAAUUUCUUACGCUAUCUAUUAAUUCAACACAAAAUGAUAUGAAAAGAAUGAGUUUCGAGCCAAUUUGUGACUCGGAUUGUUAUUGGAUAAUCUGUUAAUGUGUCAGGUCGUUAUUGGGUUAUCCGUUAAGAACUCAAUAAGAUAUCGUUUGCCAGAUCUCUAGACAUUAGAUAUAACAAUUUCUUGCAUGAUCCAUUAACCCGAAACGACACGACCCAUUAACAUGUCGGGUUGUUAUUGGGUUACCUGUUAAGAACCCGUUAAUUUUACUGGGUUUGACACAACACGAUCCGUUAAAAUAAUAGAUAUGAUAAGAAAACGACAAACACGACCCGUUUGUCAGGCUUACUAGCACUAUGUGAUCAUGACUAUAACCAUAGCGAUUUUGGCAUUUUCAAUUUAGCUUGUUUUGAACCAAUAUAAUAAACUUAAGUUUACUAUUGGAAGUGCAAGUUGCCAAACGGGAGUGCCAAAAUUACCACGCAAUAGAAAUACAACUAUUUGUACCAUAUCAAUAAGGUACAAUGUUCUAAAAAUCCCCACCUAGUGUUGCCUAGGCGCUAGGCAGCUAGCCACCGUUUCGAUUAAUGUCUAGACGUUUAAAAAUUAAGAAAGGGUGCCUAGACCGCCUAGGCACUUGCCUAACCCGCCCAGACCCGUCUAGGUUGCGACUCACAUAAAAUAGAUAACUUUCAUUUUGCAUUUUUUUUCAAUCAAUUGUGAGAGACUUGUUGAAUACUUAAUUGAACACACAUUAUAUGUUUGUUCCCUAUAUUUUUAGUGUGUUCCAAUGCUUCAUAAUAUAUAUGUCGUUCUAUUUUGUAAUUUAUAAUGAAAUUAUAUUAUUUUAAGUAUAAACAAACACUUAUUUACACGAAAUAUAAUAGAUUUAAUUAAAUCCGCCUAGUUCGACUGGGCACAUUCCUUGGCCCCAUCUAGUCAUUAGGCCCCAACCUACCACCCAACUAAUGCUUAACGUCUUUUAGAACCUUGAUAAGAUAGUGUUGAAGAAAUACUUGUAGCUUUAUUUUCAUUGUUUUUAAGCCUUUUAUACUUUGUCGUCAAGCUGGUACCUUUUGCGCAAUUCAUUUCUGAUGUCCCAAAAUUCCUUUUCCUAAUUAGAAUUUAGAAGCCUUUACUUUCCAAUUUGUUUAUUCUUUUACACAUGUAAUAACCAACAUGAUUAGGGAAUAUAUUGCGCCCUUUCUUCUUUUUGACCUCUUUUGAUAAUCUUGUUUUUACUAGUCGAAUCAACCGGACUGUUCGAUUCACGUCAAAAAAAAGAGAGGUCCCUUUGCAUUUGAGUAACGAUAAAUUUUUCUUUUGCUGCAAAGUCUCCCAAAUUAAUCAACAAGAGUUGUAGAGAGACAUCCCUACCCCUCUUUCAUUAUUGAUGAUCAUCUCCAAAGCAAAACUAAUUAAGACCUCCCCUCCACUUGCAACCCACAAAACUGAGAGAUUUUCAAUAUGACUGAAUCACAGGACGGUACGUCAUAUGUUAUUAAACAAGUAGAGUGACAAGUUUUUCUCCAAAUACCCUUCAACUGGUGUAAUGACAUAUGAUUAUGUGGCCCUGUUCCAGACACAAUAAAAAGUCUGGCCACAAAACCAAAGCCAAAUGAUACAUGAUGAGCACCAAAGAAACAAUAAAAGCAAGAGAAUAGUUAAACAAGUUAAUAAUUGAAUCAGAUAAACAAAUAACAUUAAAAAAUUAAGAAAAAAAGAAAAGAAAAGAAGAAGCAAAGGCAAAGAAGAUUCUUGAUGUCAUUGUUUCUUGUUACAAUCACAAAUUUCUUUAUACCAAAUCCAAUGGCUGAGAUCUACAACCUUUCCAGUAGACCCCACCACACAUUAUUACAACCCUCCUCCCCCCAUGUUUCCAGAUCUACACCUUCCCCCAUAUUUUUCCUAACCAUUUUUAUCUUCUUCUUCUUCUUCUUCUAUAUGAAAUUAUAUAUGAUACAUCAAGGACAGCUGCAACAUUUUGGAUCCAAUUACACCCAGGACCACACACCCAAAUAACUUUAAAAAAAAGUCCAAAAAAAAAACAAGUAAAAACGGAAUUUAAUUCAACAAAAAAUUUAGACAAAAGGCCAUGUGAUCAGU